rnacentral:lncRNA from 1 species
UCCAAAUUUAUGGUUGAAAAAGUGUGGAAGAUGUUCCGUCUAAGGCAAAGUUAUGGUUGGAGGUAAUUUCAACGGAUUCUAGCAACUAGAGAGGCCUUGGCUAAAGGUGGGGUAAUUCAUAACAUGUCAUUAUUAUUAUUUUUGGUCAAGUGAUAUUAAGGAAGUUGAAUUACAAUGUAUGACAGUUAUAGUCUAACCACAUAUGGUCAUCCAUAAAUAAUUUGACGAGUAUGCUGGUGCUCAACAUUUCUUUGUGAAUGAGCAUGAGAACUACGUAGUGGAUAAGCGUUUGAAGAGAGCUUAUUUUCUUAUGUAGGUAUAUGUCAUUUGGUGUGUUUCAUUGGUUUGGAAUAAAAUUAUUUUUCAGGAAGGGGGUUACAGAUUUCAAAAUAAAAUUAUUAUGCAGACAUGUGUAUAUAUUACUAAAGAUUUGUAAAGAAAAAAACAAGAGUUAAUCAGAUCCGAGAAGGCUACCAAUCUUUUUAUUUUCGAUAAAACAAAACUGAAAAUAGGUUUGCAAUAAAUAGAAAAAUAACAAGUCCGAAAUACUCGUCUGACAUGAAAUUUUAAUUACCGUAUCCAAUCCCACUGGAUCAUAAAUAGAACAUUUUGUUGGCAUGUUCUUCAACAGAACCAAGGAGUUCAUAAGCAUUGAAAGAUAAAUAAAUGAGAACUCAGCAUCAAAAAAAGAAUUCUAAAACUCAAACAGGGAAGAGUACGAAGAACUCGUGCAAAAAUCAGAGCAACCAGCACAAGAUCAGGCAAGACCCCCAAAGGGCAAAAUGGGCAGUAAAUCACAGCACAAAAACGAUCAAGUACGAUCACGCAUCCUGGAAGAUGACCAAGUUGAAGAUGACCUUGAACCCCCACCAGAACCAAAUGAGGAAGAAUUACGAUCCCACCUGUCACCAUCCGGCCGGCUGCCACUGUUACCCCAACGAUCUGCUUCUGGAGGAGGAGCUCCUGCUGUUUCACCUCCUCCUCGCCGGAACUUGGGAACAUACUUCCCUGGAGCUGGGGCUGCUGCAGCUGCAGCUGGAGCAGCAGUACCAGGAUCAACUGGACGGACAGGAGGCUCAUAAGGCCUCAGAGCUGGUUCAGCAGGUCUGCCCAACAAUGCUUCCCUCUUCUCCCUCUCAGCCUUUUCUUCAAUUUCUCUAAGUCUUUGUUUUUGCUUUUCAGCUAUCUCAUCCAAUUUAGCUUGGCGUUCAGCCUGUUCCUUCUUUUUUCUCUCAGCCUCUGCAGUUCAGAAACACCGCAUGUUAAUUAAAUACAAAGGAUGAUUAUCUACUGGAUUGUGUGUAAAAGAUGGUACCCUGAUUCCAGAGCAACAUACAUUUUACUAAUUACAAAAGAUUUUUUUUAAUGUAAUGAAGAAAGAAAUGAAAUACAAAAGAUGGAAUUGGAAAGAAAAAAAAAAUCAUAUGACUGUGUUGGCGGAAAUAAAAUAGACACAUUCAACAAGUUUAGUGUUAAUCCUUUCAAUACUAUAUGAAUAUGAUCUGGGGGGAAAAGCUUGGGCACUUAUAUAAUCCAGAAAACAAAUCAAUAACAAUUACCUUCACGCUCCCGAGCUUCUUCCUCCUCACGCAAUUUCUGUCUUUUCUCUUCUUCCACCUUAAGAUAAUACUUCAAUUUUCUCAUUUUUUCCCUCUCCUGUUUCCUGGAGAGUAAAAUCUUAGAGAUCCUGUCCAGCCUGUCUCUCUGCAACCUAUUGAAUUCCGCUUGGCGGUGACUCACAACUCUCUCUUGAUAUAUCUCCUGCAAAGCCAAACCACAUGAUAAAACAUUAUUGUCUGUCUUAUAUGAUGACAAAUAACAUCAAUUGUUAAAAGAAUGGCCAAGAUAUAGAAGAGUAGCCUAAGAGUUUAUGAUACUAACUUUAUUGCCCAUCAUUCGACUAAGCCUCUCCUUCUCAUUGAGAUCUCCAGCAUGGCGCUGUCUGCUUAGUUCAACUUCUAGCUGCAUAAAACAAUGGUCUCAUACAGUUAGUACAAGACAAAAGCUUGUUUAAAUAGAAUGCGGCAAAAAAGAAAAUUUUGUUCCAACUUGAGGAAAAAUGUGUAAAAAUUUAAUUGUUUCCAAUGGAACACAAGUAGACAUACUUGUUGCUCACGCUCAUGAAGAACCCUCUCUUCCACUAAUCGCUGUUGAUAUGCAGCAUCAAUUAGCGGAGCAGCCUCUUCUCUCUUUGCUCUUUCCAAAUGAUCCAUGGUUUUGGCCAAUUUCUGAAGCUUCUUCUCCAUUUCCUGUCUCUCCCGGACUUGUUCGACCAACGUCAACUGCAUCAAGGAUUCCCUAGAAAUUUGGCCCUACAGAUAGUGUAUGGUCAACAUUAGAAGAUCAAAACAAAAGAAGGAACUUAGAGCAUAAACAUUGGGCGUGGUAUAAGCAUGUGUGCACAGCUUGUCAGAAUGGAAACCACUAAUUGGGUUUCUUUACGUGCUGAUAUUAGACCCCGUAUCCACGGUGGCUGUCUUCUAUUAUUUUCUUUAACAAUAAAACCGUGCUUUUGAGUGGCACUUUUCUUGAAUUAAAAUGAUAAAAAAAAUUGUGAGAUUAGCGUUAUAAAUUAUGAAUAAAUUGUAAGAUUAGUGGGAUCCAUUUUAAAAUUUUGGAUGGGUAGUAUGGAUAUUUAAAAAUUUUAGUUGAGUUGUUUAAAUAAUUGAGAAGCGUUAAGUAAUAUAAUAUAUUGGAUUGGAUGGGGUCUAGUUAUACCACAAAUAUGGGGGCAUGGAUGUGGAUACUCUAAAUUGAAAGCAAGCUUCAACUUACCCCUUCUAUCACAGGCUUUUUGCCCUUUCUCUUCAAACGCUUUUCAGCUUCCAGACGUAAAGCCUCGGCUUCUUCUCUGUCUCUUUCCUCCUUUUCCCUUUGGAGUCUUUGAAUUUUCCUCUGCUCAAUCUCAGUUGCAAGCCGCCUUUGCUCUGCUUCUUCAUCAAUUUUCAGCAGUCUCAACCUCUUUGACUCCUCCUCGCGUUCCUUCAAAUUUUCAAAUGGAUACAUAUAAAAGGAAAGUUUAAUCGUUUCAAAUAUUAUUAAAUCCUAAAGAGCCAAAUGAAUAAUAAUUAAUAAACUAAAAGGAUUAUACCUUUUCAAGAAGCUGCCGUUCUUGUUCCUCUUUCCUUUUCUCAAUAAUGGAUUUUCGAGCAAGGAGCCUCUUGUGUUCUUUGGCCACAACCUCUGACAAAGUUGGGAGCAAUGCUCCAAGUUUUGAUUGUUUCCUAUCAGGAGGACAAAUCAUUUGCCUUGCCUUAUUCAAUUGUUCAGCAAAACUAGCCAAGUGAUCCCUCAAGCCAUCAGCUUCAAGACUCUUGAGAUAGAAACCAAGCAAAUUCCGUAAGAUUUGGUCAAAUGAGACAAUACUAUAUAUGUUACAAUUAAUAUGUUCGAUUCAGAGUUUAGAUAAACAACUAAAAAAUUUAUCCAUUCUAAACCACAAGAGUUUAUGUAAACAACUUAUCCUAGGCCUCUGACAUAGGUGCAAAUAAAAUAACAGACUAUUUCCAUGUUGGGAAUAAUGAUUCAGCAGAACCAUGAUUGAACAACAAUCAAAUGUAUUCCUCAAAUAACAUGCCCAAACCACUUAAAUCAAGAAUCAACCAUCUUCUCAGUAAUAUGUGCCACCCCAUUUCUCUCUAUAGUAAUCAUUCCAAAUCCUAUCCAUGAUCCACCAUAACAUUUUUUGUACAAAAACAAAAAAAAUCUUCCUACUGAACUGUGAAGUUUAAAAAUGGCAAUAAUACCAAGAUAAAGGAAAACAUACCGUCUUACAGAAAAUUACAACAUUUUUCAUGUGGUCCACUUUCAUUGAUAGAAAUUUCUGCUUAACAGCGUCUACAGAAAUCUUUUCCACAACCGAAAAAUCAAAGAAAGGGAUCAUCCCAGCUAAGUUCUCAAUCUUCAUUGAUUGGUAAACAUUAGACACCUGAGGAGGGAAGGCAAACAGGUUUAAGUACACAUCAAACAGACGGAUUAAAAUAAAUAACACACAAAAUAACAACAGAAAAGACAAUGCACCUGUUGUAGCAACCUCAAGGUAGCCAACUUUUCAAGAGCUGGGACAUACUGCGAAAAUUGCACCUCUGGAACAGAUGAAGCGAAGGUAAACUUACCCCCCAAUUUCGAAAUUUUAUUUAGCAAGGGUAGUACUUUUAGUGCAAGAUCUGAGGGUAGAAAUUCAUUUUCCAAGAGAUAGUAAAUGUCUUUCACUUCUUGUGAUACACAAGACAUUACACCCUUUGAAGCCUGCAAGCAUUCCAAAUGUAACAACUUGAGACCGAGACUAAAGCAAUUAGUUAUUGCAAUAAUACUAAGUUACUAACCCAGAUGUUAUCCAACCCCUGAACCUUACAGAGUACACAAACACACACACAGACAUAUAUAUAUAUAUAUGUGUGUGUGUGUGUGUGUGUGUGUGUGUUUAAAUAAUGUUUGUGCCCAACCACACCAAAGGUUCAGGAAAUAAUGUAAGCAAUUAUUUUUAGAUAUGUUUAAAAUAAUUACCACAACAAAGAUUCAAAACCAACCCAUGAAAUGCAAAAAUCGAUAGCUGUUAUAAGUUGAAAAUUAAAGAAAUUCAAAUCGAUAUGACCAACACCAAAAAUUUGAAGGACAAAAAUAACGAGUGCAGUUACUCAACUACUUGUUGAAAGCCCAUUCCUUAACAAUAUACAUCAAGAUAACAAAAUUAAAAAUUUAUAUAGGAAUUUCUUUAGAAUUUUUUGUUUCAAAUAAUGAGAAUAUCUUACCAGUUCAGCAAGAAGUGACGACCUUGAGAGCUGGGGAAAGACAAAACAGAAACAAAAACAAAUGGUAAGAAUAGCAAAUCAUAUAUCUAUACACUACUGGGAGUGCAAAUGAGGGAAAGUUAAAUACCACUUCUCUGCUAUCAGGCUUAGUUUCAAGAUUAAAGCCUAUGAGAUUAGCCAUCCUCAAAUUUCGCUCUUUUUCAUGCUCUAGUUCUAAAUGAGAUGCACCAUGAGUGCGAUCAUGAGGAGGCACCGAGAGUGCAGCUAGAACAACAGAUGAAGCUAUUAAUUGCAAAUCCUUUUGACCAAGAUUUUUGUUGAAGCUUUUCUGUAACAAAAAGAGCUUAAACCAUGCAUAAGCAUGAUAUAAAUGACUUGAAGAUUUCCAAAAUAUUUCUGUCAACUUGACAUAGUAAACAGUCAUCAAGGAUGGUUUAGGUGUUUUCUUGACCAUGCACAUUAAUCCAUGAAUAUCUUCAACAGAUCUGAAGGCUUCCUGCAUGCAACAAAAAAUCAGGUCUGCCAACAUCAAUGAAAUAAACACCUUGUGAAGAUUUAAGGAAAAAUGAGAAGCUGCCAACCUGCCAGAGUUCAAGUUCAGUGGCAAUUUUCAGCUGCUCAAAUCUUGUAUCAAGAUACAAUUGCAAGCUUUCAGGAGCAGAAAGGUCAGGCCGGUCUCGUUGGUCCCGAUAUUUGUUAAGAUUAGCCAAAUGAUUUCUGAUAAUUUCACAGAGUCUGCGAAAUUCUGUUGUUCGCUUAUACUGCUUACAAAACUGGAAAGCUCGAUGGGCUGUCAUCUGCAUAUGGCAAUAGAAUCGACUAUAAGUUUGACAUAAAAGUAAAUCUGCCUUGCAUAUUAUUGUUUUUUAACUAUAAAACGUAGAAUGAUAUGAAAUAAAAAAGAAGAAUAAGUUAAUGGGCAACAACAACAUAUAGCCCUAAUGACAAGCAAUUAAUUUCUAUUUAUCAGGAAUACUUACAGCAUAUAAGGCUUCCAAUUUGGAGUUGUUCCGCAAUAUUUCAAGCACUGUCCUGUAAGUUUCCCAUAGAAAUUUAAACCAUGGCGUAACAAGCUCCCGAUCAGAUCUAUCCUUUCCUUUCUCGCCACUAACAUAGCUCAGCAUCAAAUCCUCUGGCCUUUUAUCAGCCUCCAGGUCAUCCACAUCAAGGGCUUCUUCCAAAGCCUGAGCCUGACUACGUGCUUGUUCAGCUUUCUCUGUUGACAGAUGCAUGAAGUGCUUGAUCACCUCCUCCAGUGAGCUAACAUUCACUUGCUGACAUAUUAUACGAUACUGAAUGAGGCCAUCCUUAGCAAAUCGGCCUUUCCUCAUGUCAACACAAAGCUCGACAUACUUAAACAUAAUUCUCUCCAGUGUUUUCUGCCAUGCGCGAUAUCUUUUCGAAGUGAUCAGGUCGUGCAGAGUCUGAAGAGCAUCCUGCUUCUGCCCGACAUUGAUCAACUCUGUAAAUCAAAUUUUAAGUGAUUCAAUUGCAUAAUUCUCUAAAACAAAUGACAAGCUAAGAACACGAAGAAUAGAAAAAUAGAAACUAAAUAGUCAUCUUCUGAACAAACCUUCUGCCCUUUUGAGAGCAUUCUCAGGCUUCAAAAAUGACGUCAUAUUGCAAAUUCACAAAAAUUCAACUCCCUGUAAAUAAGAGAGAGUGAUAAUGAAAAUUAAAAAAUAAUAAUGAAACAAAAUGUAAUCCAAAAACAACUGUAAAACACAAAUUCACAUCAGAAUUAUCUAGAAAAAUUGUAAAUCUCGCAAGAUUAUAGAUUUGAAUCACGUUAAACCAAUGUCAUUCAUAAACUAAGACAUCAAGUGAAAUUGCCACUAAAUGUAGCAGAAAUUUAAGCGAAAAUAACAAUCAAACAGAUAUUCAUAUGAAAAUUCUCUAGGAAAAAACGCCAAAAGAUUGUAAAUUACAAUCACGAUAAGGUGAUGAUAUUCAUAAUAAGAAUCAUGCUAAGCCAUCAUCUUCGUGUAAUAUAAUUAGCUGAGCAGAUUAACUGAAAAUAGCGAUAAUCAAAAUAAAAAAAAAAAAAACAAUAAUAACAGUUAAACACAAUUUCAUAUCAAAAUUCUCUACAAUAGUCAAAUCUCGCGGAAUUGUAAAUUAGAAUCACACUAAACCGAUGAUAAUCAUAAACUGAAAAUCAAGUGAAUCAUCUACAUCUAAUUAGCUGAUUCAAAUUAACCAUUAACAAUAAAACUGGUAUUAUUGGAAUACAAAAAUAACGAUAAUUGAAUCAGUUUAUAUCGCAAAUCGCACAAUCUCAGAAUUGCGUUGCGGAGUGGAUCUCUUCUCAAAAGGAAUUUCCCGCGCACCGUCGUUCAUAACGGCCGGGAAACGCGCCGGAAUCGCAUCGUCGAGAGUGGAAAGAAAAUCGAAAGAAAAAAAAAAAAGGAAAAUCUGAACGUACUUCGUAACGGUUUGUCGUUGUCGAUGAAAAACAGUGGUUUCGUUUCCGUCCAGCUUUUGCUUUGUUACGAAGAAAUUGAGAGUUGAGUGCGUCUUCUUCUUCUUCUUCUCAAACUGGAUGCAAGUGCGCAAAAGCUCAGCGGCUGCUUAUCGGUUUUGUUGCGUUAGGGUUUUAAUGGUAAAAGCUUAUUAUGGGCCUAAGAAAAUUGAAUUGGGUCGGGUUUGGCCUCUUCAAAAUGUUAUGUAUUUUUUAACCCAGGAAAAUAAAUAGUAUGAAAUAACAAAUAUUGAAGUUUAUCGUAAAAAAGAAACAAAUAUUACUUUGGUUUUGACUCAUCAUUAAGACGUAGAUUUUUUUUUACUCAUUAAUGAUGUAGAAACUGAAAAAAUAUUAAUAUCAAAACCGAAAUAUUCACAUUCAGGAUGGAGCCAGAAAUUUUUGCUAGAGGGGGCGAAAAUAAUUCAUGUAAUGUCGAGUCAUUUGCUUGGUUUGAAAUCAAUUAAUCACUUUUGUUUUAAAUUUCUGAUUUCUGAAGAAAAAAAGCUUUGGGAGUUAUGAGAACGUAACAUGAUAAUAAAUCACAUAAAGUCUGAUCGUAUAUUUUUUAACUUAAAUAAUGUAUUUUUUUCUUUUGCUAACAUGAAUAAGAUGCCUUAUUUUACCCUCUCAAACAAAAAGAAUACUACUAAUUUCAAAAGAGGCGAAUGUAAUGAAUUUUUUUUCUUUCUAUUAAGCAAUACACAAAAAUUAAUAUCAUUAUAAGAAGAUGACUAAAUGUGAGGCACUGGAUAGAAUACUUGUAUAUAUAUGUACCAAGUGACGUGGAAAGGAAUUGAAAUUAGAGUGUAUUGAAAAGUACUAGAGUGAUGCAUGUAAUUGUAGUUCAACUAAUCCUGUUUCACAGGAGUAACAUUCUUAUUUCUUUAGGGGGACGAGUAUGAGUUUCGGUAUAUAUUUGUCAUAAAUUUCUUGUAUUUGGGGGUGGCGACUGCCCCAAAACAAAUAUAUGUAGCUUCGUCCACAUUUUCUAUCCUCUAACUAAUGCACUCUAGUGUUGUUAGAUUAUUUUCUCCAACUUCCGAAAAUUGGAGGUUAUCACAUGGCAAGUGAUUUCUCUCGUGGAUGUUUGUUUCAAGUUUAAUAAAACAUUCUUGAAAAUGUAUUAAUAGGGAAUUAUUAUGUUCAUAUUUAUUGUAAGGUUGAGAAAAAUAUUUUUGGAUAUAAAUCAAAGUUUAUUGGAAUGAACUAACUUCUCUUACUCUUGUGGAAUCAUUCACAUGUGAGAAAUUGGAAAUGUGCAUUCAUGUGAAAUUAUAUAUAGAAUUUUUUAAAAAUGUCAAGUUAAUAUAGGACCAAUAUUAUACAAAAUCCUUAGGUGGUAGUGUGCUUGUUUGAAGAAUCGGAUUGGGUAACUGCCAGCUGGUGUGUGUGGUUUAAGGAGCUAAGGAGGCAUAUUUGAUUCGAUUCUUAUUACACUUGCAUUCAAGAGUCGUUUGGUUCUCUAUUUAUUUGUUUUUGUGCAGGUGGUGUUUGUAGUAUCAGUUUGAGGCAUUGGUGUGUGAAUGUCUCUAUAUUGCUGCAGACUUUGUAAACAUUGUUUAUUCUAUCUUGACUCUUAGCAAUUUUUCUCGAGCAUUUCUUAUAUUUGGAUUUUUCAAGAGUUUUUUUUUAUUUUUUACUAUCGGAUAUUAAGAUUCAAAUUAUACGUGGUUUGAUUUAGAUGACUAUUUAAAACUCACUAUCGUCAAAUUCAGUUAAAUGUGGCUUAGAUCAUAUCAAUUUUCGAUUAAUUUAAUUUAUAAUUGUAAGAUAUUCUUUGUAUUUGUAGGCAACUUAAAAUACCAAAAAAAAAGGUUUGUCAAAAAAAAAAUUAAGGUUUGAAGUUUCCGCGGCAGUUAACUGCAGUCGGUUUCUGAAUUCCUCGACAGUUAACUGCCGAGAGGUAUUUUGGUAUUUUACUGGUGUGUUUCAGCCCUAUUAGAUGUGUACACAACAAUUUUCAUGCUUCUUUUAAUGGUAAUGUUAAUUGUUAAUGAAUAUUUACUAUUUUAUUUGGAUUUGAAUUCAUAGUCUCUGACUCAUUUAACCAUUAGCUCAAACUAAUUGAACUAUCCAAUCCUUGAGGAUAAGCAUAAAUAUUUUUUUAAGUGUUAUUCGAGCACCAAAGUCCUCGCUGUCUUGGAUUAAGACAACAUUUCCUCACCCCAAACUUUUAUUAUCUAAAAAAAAACACUCGGUACUUGAACUUUGAUAUGUACCAUUGGAUAGUGGAAUGACUCAUGAUCUACUUCAACAUUUAAUGUUUGCUUGGUUCGUGAGGGAUUUGGAUUCUCUCCAUUGAAAUUUUUCUCAGAUUUUCUCCAUUUUUAAUCUCCAUCAUUAAAAGCCAUUAACCACUUUUUUUUAUACAAUUUAACUCUCAUUUUCUCUCUCAUAUUUAAUGGUUAAGAUUUCACUUGAGAAAAAUUUCAAUAGAGAGAAUCCAAAUCCAUUCAGAAGAGGGGUUGGGAGGAGAUAAAUUUUAAUGGAGGGGUUGGUAGGGGAUUAAAAUACUCAUUAUGCUUGGUUCAACAUUUAAUGUUUGCUUAGUUCAAGAGAUGAUGACCUGGGAGGAUUUUAAUUACAUUUAUGUUUGGUUCAAAAUGGAAGUGGAUAGAUUUUAAAACUAUUUUACCUUCUUAUCUUUAUAAUUUUUCGAUAGUCUCGUGAUUUUGAAACUGUGACUCUUCGGCACUAAGACUUUUUGGACAUUUUUUUUUUUUUUGUAAAAAAUAAGAAAUAAAUUAUAUAAUAAUCAGUAGCUUCAAUAAUAUUGAUGGUUUCAUAAGUCUCGAAUUCAAUGGAUUUUAGAUGGUGUUGGAAUGUCAUCCAUGCGUUACAGAUUUGAUAAAGAUAACAAAACCACUUUUCAUGUUUUAAGGGAAUACCCUGAACCACUCUUCAUGAUCUAGUUAGUCCCUUCUAAUAACAUUACUAGUUUUUUCUUCUUCUUUUUUUAAUUGUAAGUACUUGAUUUUCAAGAAUAUCAACAACCACUUGCAUGAAACUCAUAGUAAGAAGUGGACAACUACUUUUUUGGGUGGAUUGCUGGCACAUAUGUAUAUGGAGGAGCAAAGUUAUCUUUGAAGAUGAUUUUCAACGACCAUUCAAUGCAAUCUCCAUUGUCCUUGAGAUGGUCGAGGACAUAAACAAUUGUAACCACUACCCUAUGAAUAUUUGCCUCGAAGACGCCAUUUUUAUUGGUUGGGAAAGGCCCCGGGAAUGGUGGGCCAAGCUUAAUUGCGACGGAGCCUAUGAGGACACUCAAAUGAUUAUUCGGUGUGGUGGUCUUACACGACACUUUUACGAGAGAUGGCUAAUCGUGUACUCACGUAAAAUUGGAACCUGGGAUACUCUUAGCGCCAAGAUGUGGGGAUGUACUUGGGUAUGUAGCUUGCUUGGAGACGUGGUUUCCGUUGUCUUUAAAUUGAAAACGACUCAAAAACUAUGGUUGACGUGAUCAUGGAGAAUGUCAAAAUUAACGACAAACCGCCUAUUUUGGUGUGAUACACUCGAAAGCUUUAGAGUUGGAUCAACAAGUGUAUUUCAAUUAAAUUAUACCUAGAGGGAGGGAAAUAAAAGUGUCGAUUGACUUGCUAACUUUAACUUUUUUCUAAACUCUUUUCAAAUUAUUGUUAUGAAUACUAUUCCUAAUAAGAUUUCAACCCAUUUUUUAAUGAUAUUUUUAGGGUUUGCAUGCUUAAAAAUAUUGUUGAAACAGUGCAUUUCUCUAUCUUUUGAGUUUUGACUCUCUUUUACUAAAAAAAAAACUUUUACAAAAAUCAUCUCAACAAGUUAAAUAUAAAUAAUUUUGUGAAUGUUGGUUUAUAAAAUCUUGGCUUUUCCUACCCUACACUACAUCUCAACCUCGCCCUACUUAUGAGGAGCAAUACUAUUAGGUCAACUAGAACAUUCGGCAGGUGUUACACCCCUAAGUUAGGGUACGUCCUACAAACAUUUUUAAGGUAUCUCGACAUCCUCGUCAUCACCGUGAAACCUCAAACUAGGUUAGUUUCUCGUCGGUGGGUGAUUCUGUCUGAUUCCGUGCUUCAGGUAACAAGAUAAGAUGGCAUUUUUCUUUGGAUUUCACCGCUUGCUUCGUCACUCUCAAUCCCCACUUGUUAGCUCCCAUUUCACUUCCAUUCGUCUCAAUUCAACUCUCACUUCCCCCAAACUCUUCAUUAGCGGUAAUUACCCCACCCCUCUUAACAUUUCUCUACCAUAUUUCAAUUUUAUGCAUUAAAUUAGAUUAAUAUUGUUAUGAUGCACUUGUGUUACACCUAAGUUCCAGUUUAGAUUAGAUUCUUAAUUUAAAGACCUUUUCAAUUAACACUAGUUUAUGGUUUUUUCACUUUACAAAAGGGUCAUUAAAACUGCAUUUCUGUCAGCCUUGCCCUGAAACUAGUUACAUUUGAAGUGGACUUUUUUAAAAAAUUAAUAAAUUGUAUUACGGCUGUGCUUGUACCCUUGAAACAUGAAAUGUUUUCCUUUAUUAAGGAAGCAAAACAGUUAUGGCUGCGUGUUUUACAUCUUCAAGGGAAACUCGAACUUCUUGUGUAUUGAUUGAUUUCAUGGUGUCACUGACUCUCUUUGGCAUUCGGCACUAUAUCUUUUAUUAGAUGUUUCUUGAAGAACCAACGCAAGAAUAAAAUCAGCGUACAUGAGAUGAGAAUGUUAGGGGGAUGUGUGGUAAAAUCAGAUGUGAGAGAAUUGGGGUAGCACUUAUAGUAGAAAAGAUGGUGGAAAAUAGGCUUAGGUGGUUUGGGCAUGUAGAGAUAAGACACGUAGAUUUUGUGUGAAGGAGAGUAGAUCAAAUGGAGGAUUGUUAGAUCCCUGGAGGCAGAGGAAGACCCAUAAAAACUAUAAGACUAAGAGAAACUAUUAAGAAAGACUCAGAGAUUAGUUAGUUGGACCAACAUAUGGUCUAUGAUAGAACAUUACAGCGUAAGUUGAUCCGUGUAACCGACCCCACUUAACGGGAAAAGCUUGGUUGUUGUUGUUUCUUGAUAGAAAUGUAGGGGAAUUAUAGAGCUCUCUUACUUUGUUUGCUUUUUACUUGAUAUUUUGUCCGAACCUCCUUAUAUUUGCAUUCAUACUUUCCAUCAAUUUUAAUUGAACAUACGUUGUGGAAGACAUGUUGAUUCGGUUGCAAAACAUUGUAAAACUAGAAAUUGGUUAAAGUGGUAAAUGUUUUGUAUAUAAAUGGAAGAAGGGAAAAUUUAUGAAACUCUUCAGGUCAAAUAUACCUAACUUGAUUUUUUAUUGAAAUCGUUGUUCGUAGCAACAAUGAUCUACUCAAGAACUAAAUUCUAGUAGAUAUCCAGCAUGGUUUAUUCUGAAUGAUUGUGGCCCAGAACUUGUUUUAGCUUACGUGAAUCAUGAACUUUGACCAAAACAGUUUUCUGGUGUAUUUCGCAUAUGCUUCAAUAACUCUACAAGCUGCUUAUUUGACGUUGUUUGCUGCAUGAAAUUGCUAUGUGUAUAAUGCAUGUAUAUUCACAAUACCUGUUGCUUGUAUAUGAUUUAUUUUUUAAACUCGUAAGAUUAUUAUAUAUUUAUACUGUACGGUGCAAAAUACCUGAAUUUUGUAUGUAACAUUUUAAAAUUAGAAAAAUAUGCAUUUCAUUGUAUUUGAAAUUUUGAACAGGUCUUUCAAGACUGACAACAGAUGAAAAACUUACAGAAGCAUUUUCUCCUUUUGGACAGCUGUUGGAAGGUAAUAAUGAGAAUUUUAUUAUUAGCUUUGGCAUUACUCGAUUAUAAUAUCCUUAUUUUGCUUGAUGUGCAUUGCGUUUGACCUUCAAUCAUUUUUAUUAUACAGCUAAGGUGAUAACUGAUAGAGGCUCUGGAAGAUCGAAGGGUUUUGCUUUUGUAUCUUAUUCAACCAUAGAAGAAGCUGAGAAGGCAAGAGAAGGCAUGAAUGCUAAAUUUUUGGAUGGUUGGGUUAUAUUUGUUGAUCCUGCCAAACCAAGAGAACCCAGACCUCCUCAGCAGUCACAAUCUCAGCCGUCUCAAACAGGCUUCACCGUAAAUAAGACCGUUGGGUGGUGUGGUUGAUGAUUGAAGAAACUUGAUUGAUUAUUCUCAUGUGUUGAGGGUAAUAAUAAUAAUAAUUUAAGGACCAUAUUAUUCAGCAUAGCCAACUAUACUAUAAAAAAAUUUGUGCUAAUCAGUGAUAAUUGAUUUUUGCACUUUGGCCAUAAGGCAUUAUUUUUAUUGUUUAAAAUUUUGAUGUCAAAUUGGAAACUAAAUGCUAAGUUUUCAUUGCCAGUAAAUUUUUCCUUAUAAUUAAUUGUAUUAUUGACAGAUAGCUGCUAGUAAAUUUUCAUUCCUAUGGUCAAAUUAUGUUUCAAGUAUUAAUUAGUUGUUGUCCUUAAUAUUUUUUUAUUUUUUUUGAUUAAAUACUUUCCUUCAUCUUUGACAGAGGUAGUUUUUCCUCUCCAAACAUGUAUGCAUCUAAAAUUCUGAUUGAUUGAUUUACUUAUUUGAUGGGCAUAUCAUAUUUAUUGUUGCUUAUUAUUGUGAUACUGAAGUAUAUACUCAACAAUUGCCCAUUUCAAUUCUUUGUAUAGGACUACCUACGUCAAUCUUUGGCUUAUUUAGACUUUAAAGUUUUUUGUCUGGCAGAGGGACUUGUGUUCUCUGCCUAUCACAAUAGUUAUGGAAGUUAUAUGAAGUGCAGUGUUUCCCUUGGCAUCCACCAUAUUAGCAAGUAAAUCCUCAACAAUUGCCCAUUUCAAUUCUCUGUGUUCUCAUCAAGCACCUUGAAUAUAUUGGCAUUUUCGUCCAACCAUAUAUGAUGCACCAGAGAUAAUGUAGGAUUACUGCUAAAGUUGGUAAUGGGACGAAUGAAUCCAAAGUUGCUUUUAUGAGAUUUGGAACACAUGUCUAAAAGGAUUGUUCAAUUACUAGCUUCUUCGAUCAAUAACAUAUGCAAUAGUUACGAGAAUAUUAUGUAUGCCCGCAUAAUUUUGAUUCCUGCAUAAAGACCCAAGACUAGGAGAAAUUUAAUUGGGCUACCGAUUCGUCGAAUAAACCACACAUUAAGUGAAAGAAAUAUGAGUGCGGUUAAGUUAGCUGUGUUUAUUCUAACACAGGAUUCUUGUGUCCAUCACUCCAUUAUUAUAGAGAUCCUUUCGUGUCCAUCACUCCGAUUUAAAGGUCCUUCCAAGGGAACUACAAAGUAUCUUGUUUGACGAAGUUUUCAAGACUUGCAUGCAUGUCUAGGAAUAUUUGUUUAAUUUCGUUGUUUUUUUUUUGUCUUUGACAUUGCCCUCUUUUGUGUACCAUGACUUGCCUUGUAUUUGUUAAUCUCUCAUGUCGUAUAUAAUUCCCAUAGGUGGUAAAGUUGCUCAAAUGACUAGAUUGGAUUUCUCAAGUCCAUACAUUUACCAUUCUUAAAAAUAAAAUUUGAAGGAUUUAUCAAAAAAAAAAAUCAACGGAAAAAUAAUUCAAAAAUCAACCUAGUUGGUUUCACUGUGCUUAGGUACCAAGACCAUUUUACAUUUAAUUGCUUCUUUUUCUCACCCUGUGAGUUUCUCGCAUGUCCUAUGCAAUUCGGAUUAUAGAAUUUGAACAACAUAAACACCCAAUAAAAACCUCCAAAAACAUGUCUAAAAGGAUUUUCUUGUAAUAUGAGAAAAGUAACGACCUUUCUAUUUUGGUUUGGCCCGUGAACCAUGCUAAAUGGGUCAAAUAUCUACUUUGGCCGGAUUAACGAAACGAAAUGAAAUGAAAUGCAGAGGGCUUGCCAUUGGCAAUACAACAAUUGCUCUUUUGGAUCCAUGAAAGCCUAACGACAGUUAACUACCGUUUGAAAACAUUUUUUAAAUCAGAUGAACUGAUUUAAAAAGUGUCACAAAUGAUUUCAAAAGUAUCGAACAGUUGUCUAAAGAGCAAUAGCCCAUCAAUCUAAGUGAAUUUCUUAUCACAACAAGAAAUUCGCACAUGUCAACAAAAACGUUUAUCUCCAAAUUUCCUUUAUAAUACAUAAGCCAUAAAAGCAUAAAAACUACAAAAGACUCGCAACAAAAAGCUUGUUCCACAUUACAAACAAAAAUGUGUUGCUGAACAUCAAGUUGAUAUGAAGAAAACAGCUUCAAUCUGCCUGUGAAAGGUUCAGAAAUCUCACACCAUACAAUCCCAAGCUUUUCACUAUAUAUACAAGCUAACAAGAAGACAAAAUUUUAUUUAUGCACAUGAAAUAGGCCAAAGCAUUCAAGCUUUUUUACUCAUUGUGCUUCCGCAACCGAGUAAUGCACUUCUGUAACAGAUUUUUUCAAGAAACUACUUCCGCAGUUUGAAUCUUGGCUACAAACAUCAAGAGAGUCAAAUUCAGAGGAACCUUCAAUAACUUGAGAAUCCCACGACUUACUGCACAGAUCAGAUUGCCCACAAACAUUGCGAGACUGCUUCUUAUCUUUCCCAUUGCCUCCUCGGGUUGAAUUUCCCUUGUUACCUUUCUUUGCAUUUUUCUUUUCAUUCUUCUUUUUCCUGGAUUUCGGCUGUUUCUUGUUUUUUACAGUGUGCGACACUAGUGUAGGUACAGGAUCAUACACAUCAGCAGCCCAUUUCACUGUCAAUUUCCCAUGUGGUUCACCGUUUUUAUCACGGCUACCUUUCAAGGCGGAUUUAAGCUCUGAAGGAGCCUGUGAUGUAAAAUACAUAGAAAAAGGAACCCGUUAAAAAAAAUGCAGUCUAAAAUAAAAAAAAAUGGAACUCUACAUAAAGAGAGAACCACAUCUUCAUUGUCUGAAUAACAAAAAGAACGGUGUAUUCAAAAACAUUAGUUUAACACUGUAUUGAAUAGGUAAAUUCAAUAGGUAUUCUUAAUAGAUCGACAGCAUCAAUUAAUAGACCAACAAAUCAAUACCACAGAUGGAAUAAGAAACCAAUUAUUGAGGUAAAACGGCAGCCUUUUCAAAAUAGAAAUUAAGAAGCAUAAUUGCUUGAAACCAAUACACAUAAACAUCAUUAACUCCAACAUCGUAACAUGAAAAACUUACAGGCAGAGAUAUCGAACGAGAGUAAGCUUGAUGAGCAGAAUGCUCAUUAAGUGAUUCUGUAACGGAUGAAUCAGCAUCCUCGUCAGAAGAGCUUGAAGGCAACAUCACAUGAGGAGUUGGAAAGGUUGCAGAUUUAUUCAAACACACCUUGUUAGGUUUUGAUUUUUUCUGUUUAUUAACCCCACUUAAGUUUUCCUUGCCUACAUUGCACAUCGCAUCCCCCUCAGACAAAUGCUCAGAUUUCUCAGUAUCUUGUAUAUGCAAUGACUCGCUAAAAGUGCUUUCGAGAUUACUUAUGCAGUUCUCGUGCAUGUCAUUAACAGAAGAGCACACUUCCAUAGAGUAUAUCAGACUAUUAGGAACUAUCACUAAUCUGCAUGAUGAACAUUGAAAAAUUAAACCAACAGAAAUAUAAAUCUGUAAUAUUUUGGCUAUAUUGACUUCUUGAUUACGGAAAAAAACAGAAGACAUCAUUGCAGAGUUACUAGAACAGCGAACAGUUCAGACCUAAUUGGAUAAAUAUACAACUUGCAGCCUAUAGCACAAGCAAUAAUCGUGCUGAGCGCUUAUGUAAAUGCUAUUUCUAUAGUAAAAUAUAAAAUAGUCAAAAUGCUUUCAUAUAAGCUCGCUUGGAAAAUUUAUGAUAAUAAGUUGUUUUCAAAUUAUGAACAAUGUCAGAAGAUGUUUUCAUAAAACUCUCUCAAACAGUCUCUCACAAAGCAUAUAUCACUAGAUAAGCUCAAGUAAGUCAAUUUAAACAAGCCCAUAAUAAGAACUCACUGGUUUUUAUUAACGACAAUUUGAAAUGAUAAUCUACAUGUGUAAUAUGAAUAUCCAGAUAAAAUAAAUUUUUCUUCAGCUUAUGUUUUGAACUAAGAUUUGUAAAAAGCCUAAAAUAUACUUCACAUUAGAUGUUUAUGUUCAAUGUGCAUGAAAACCUACAAGCUAGAAUUAGUACCCCGAACCUAGCUAGCUCAAACAAAUGUUACAUGACAUGAAGAUAUAGUUCACAAUUUAUAAAUGAUUGCAUGUAAAUUUCACCGACACAUACAUAACAAUAAAUUAUGACACCAUUUUCAUAAUCAUCAGCAUUCUUAGCUAAAUGAUCAAACUAUGAAUAUGAGUCAGAUCUAAUCAAACUAAGAUGAUAUUGAAAAAUACCUUAAAGACGAAGUUUAAAGCUGCAACAAUCUCAAACCAAGAAAAUCACUAGAUCCCCGAUUCUUCAAACGAUCAACUUGUACAACGUUUAGAGCAGAAACAACAAUAACAAUAACAACUACUAGGAUGAAAAAUAUGAACCCAAAACAGAAAAACAAAAAAGGAAAAUGUUGAUGUUAACUAAGAUUACCACGUCUAUCACUUUUUUCAAGAGGUUUCAAACGAUGAGAAGAAGAUCCAUUAUGAAAAUUGUUGAAAAAAGGAACCAAAUGGUUAAGAAGAAGAAGUUGAAUAGGCACCGAAGGCAUUAUGAAAUGCUCUUCGAAACCCUCCAAAUAGUUUGACACCCAACAAAACCAAACAACGUUGAAUCCAAAGAAAAAUCGAUUUUCAAAUCAAAAAACCCCAACACAAAACAAAAACCUAUGACAUUAAAAUCAUAACAACAUAACAUAAACUUUAACCCAUAGAAAAAUGUACUAAAAAUAAAAAUAAAGGAUAAAGUUAGAAAAAUGGUGGAUCGGGAAAAAAAGCGUGAUGGAAACUGGAUUAGGUUGUUGGAAUCGGAUAGGGAAGAAAAAUGGGUUUUGUGUAUUUAUGGUGAAAGAAUCUAGAAGGUCAGGAUUAAGAAUCAAGUUGUCUCUCAAUCUCCAACGUACACGUUUCAAUCGUCAAUAAAACCCUUAGAUAUUUUUGGUAGUCUUCUUCUCCAGUUGCAGGCAGUCCAUCAAUAGCCCUAUAGUCUAGACCCAAUAUUACUCCAUGUGAGGCCCACGUGUAUUAUCAUAUGAAAAUAACAUCUUGUCUUGCUUGUUCAAAAGACUCUCACUUACACAUAAAAAUCAACCCUUUUAAAUUUAUUCAUUUAUUAAAUGAUGUAUUUGAUUUAUAAUAAAGAUUGUAUACAUAAUUAGUUAAAUGAAUUUAAAAUGUUCUCUCUUUGGUCUCAUUUAUAAAAAACAUUUCACUUUUUUUAUUCAUUGCUUAAAUGAUGUAUUUGGUCUAUAUUCUAAACCAAGUACAUUAAUUUCUUAAUGAAUCUAAAAAGUCAAUUUUUUUUCUUAUACGUUCUUAAUUUUAAAGCAAAUAUGAAAUAUGGAUCGUUUGAUUUUAAUCAAAUUGUCGAUGUAUUCAUGAUUGCAUGGAGUCGUAGAAAUAAGAUUGUAAUGUUUGUUAUUAAAGAAACCUUUUUCCUAGACCAAAAAAUAUUGGAUGUUAGCUCUUACCAUGUAACAAUGUUAAAAUUCAUGAUGGAGUUUUAGCGUAAAGUGUGGUUCUACUUGAUUUGAGAUAUUACUAUUUAUAGUUCACAUAGAGGAUAUUUGGUUUACACCAAAGAAAGUCGUGAUGUUAUGCUGAAAUUUAAUAUAAUCGUUAAAUCAAAUAGUCAUUGAAGUCAAAGGCUAAUAAGCUUCUUUCACUAGACUCUCCCCCAUCCAUCAAAUACAAUCAAACAAAAUUGAUGUAUUUGGUUUAAUUUUCAGAUCAAAUACAUCAAUUUUUUAAUUAAAUUGCUUAUAUUGGUCAUGGGGUACCUUUCAAGAGAUAGAAGUUCAAUUUCUGACUCACAUAAUCAUUGAAUAUACUUUACUUACUGCCAACAUAACUUCAUUUUAUCAGGAUUCUUCCCUUCUGAACUUAAAGGCUAACUCACAAUUAAAAUCGUUGUUUUGGACAAAUAAGCAUGUAAUUUUGUUUCAAUUAUUUUAUUUAUACAUUUUCACAAUCCUUUAUUCCAUUUUACGUUGUAUGUAAUCGACUGUUGUUAUCAGUUCUCCCUAAACUUGAGUUGAGUCCAUACAGUGGAUAAUCUGUCCUUUUGAUAUGCCUCCUGUUUAUGAUCUAAGGAGACCUUUAUAGAUUCAAUUCAAUAUGGUUUUCUACCCAAGCAAACCAAAUUUGAGUUACAGAAUCUCAAUUUUGAUGAUUGUCCAUAAUGAGCUUAGCAAGUAAUGACAGAUGCAAACUGCCAGUGCUCAUAAAAGUCACUGUCUGAGGCAGAAAAUUUGCAAGAGGCAAAAAUAAAGAAAACACAGUAAAGUAACAUCACUUGGUUGAGCACACUAUUCCUCCAGCAUUGGGUCAGAGUUCCUAAAAAGAAAUGGUGUGAACCUGCAAAGUGGCGUGAUUUUUCGGCUUUGCUUUGUUGAUAAUCUGGACCCUAGAGUCCAACAGGUUGUGCCAAGCUGGGCAUGCAAAAAUAUAACAGUGACUUGAUGAAAAAGGCACAUGUAAGAGGGGCAAAAAGGAUAGGCAAAUACAGAAAUGAACAGAAACUCGAUCAGGAAACAAGGAACACGAGACCAGUUUAACACCAGAUAGGAAGUAGCAUUUUAAAGUCACAUGCAUUCCCAGCAAUAAACAAGAGACAUGAUUCACAUUCUAACUCAUGUUCUAAAAUUACCAGAGUCAGAUGUUUAUGAACCUAUGGGAGUGGGACUAAAAUUAUAAAUAUAACUUGCCAUCAAACCAGAUAUUUUGACAUAUUUUUCAGACAGUGUUGUGUCAAACACUUCAGUGCAUUGCAGUUUUAUAAUGUAAAUAUAAUCAACUAAUAAUAUAGAAAAUGAUUCAGUGGGAUAUUGAUUCAUAUCAUCUGAUAUAGCAAAACUUGUCUCACCUAGAUCUUGUAUCUUUCAUUCUUUUGCAAUUGUAUUGAUGUGGACAUCGUUGUUGUAUCAUGCCAAGCUUGGAAAUACAUAAUAUGAAGGUUAAUAAACCUCAACUUUGAACAUUAGUCUCACUUUUGCACCCACAGCUAUGCCAACUCUUGCAUCAAUGAUGGUACAACCGGUCGUGGUCUUAGUUGAAAAAGCCAACAUUCACUGAGGAGAAAUUUGCUAAUCAUAAACAAAAACAAGAAAAGAGGGCUUCAUGCAAUUUUACAUAUCCAAAUGUUACUUUCAUACCCAUAACUCUAUAUACCAGUGUACAAUAAUUCUGCUGGUACACCUUAGUCACUACCUUCCUUCCUGUAGUCUUAACUUUUUCCGUGUUUCAUAGUUUUAAACCCACCCAAAGGCCAAGAUAAAUAAGGGACAACAAGUGCAAAGACAAAUUCAAACUUUUCACAAAUGCUUACCCCAAGCACAGCAACAGGUAAACAUUUGAGUGUGAUGUAUUUUAUUAUUUACAAAGAUUAAAAGGAGCCUCCAGCAACAUUACACAAAUGGGGACAAGAAACAAAUCUCACCAAUCAUAUCAUAACCUAUUGAAUAAUCCGCUUAACAAGAAAUAAUCAAAUAGGCACUAGCACAAAGAAAAUAUAACCUUCAUCUUAUCUAAAUAAUGUGCAGCAAAAAAAUAAAAUAACACACGUGGUAGAAUAUUAAACAACGUCGCAGCAAUCGUAUUCACAAACACCAAACAACAAGAAAGGAAGUAUAUCAUAAUUAUCAUUAAAACACAUUAUUUUACAUAAUAUAGUCUUCAUAAAAGAAGACCCUGAUUAAAAUGAAGAUCAAUUUAGGAUAAACUAAACCCUAGAUUUGAGAAAAAGGGAAGAGCAUAGAAUAUAAUUCAAGAACUGGUGAAUCAAUUUAGGAACCAUAUUUAUACUUUUUCACGAUCCUUUUUUUCUCUCUCCUAUUUUUAAUGAAAACUCCACUGUAUGCAAUCAAGUGUGUUAUCAGUACAGACUGUACUCCCUAAAUGCAUAAUUUUUUUAAUGAGCUAAGCAAGUAACGACAGAUACAAACUGACAGUGCUCAUAAAAGUCAAAAUAUUCGUCUAGAGGCGGCAAAAUUUCAAUAGUCAAAAAUAAAGAAAACACGGUAACAUCCCAUUGUUGAGGAAACUAGUUACACAAUCACAGGUUAUUAAACGAAAAUCCACAGUGCCUAAACUCUCACCAAUGGAAAAGAAUCAUCCUUCCAGCAAAUAAAAUCUUGUUUCCUCUGCAAAGCUCCACAUUAAGUUAGCUUUUACAAAGGUCCUAGUUAUUGAACACACCACCUGCACCAUCGAGCAGAACGAGAAUGCUUAUCGUAAGCAUUGUAUUCAAGUCGAAGGAUAAACAGCAGCGCCAGCCCUCUAGAGUCUUUAGGGCCACAUAAUUCCUACAAAGAAACAGUUCUACCCUAUCUUUUAGGUGUUCCAUACCUAGACCCUAUUAGCAAUGCUAAGUAGUAUGUUUGAGUAUUCUAUAAUUGUCUUAAACUCAUUCAUUUUAGGCAACUCAAUGUCAAUAAAUUAAGCGAUUGCAUUUUCCAUAUCCUUUUAUUCCCUACAUAUUUUUCCUUUAGAUAAUCCCAGAUUUUAUUUACUAAUAUUUAGACUCAUGAUCCUUGUGAAAAGGGUUGUUGAAACACCGGGAAAACAAAGUUCCAACACAGUAUCUUGACAUAAACAAUUCAUUGAUAAUCUGUACCAGCCUAACAGACUGUCCCGAGCUGUGUAUGAAACAUGUUUAUUUAACAAGAGACUUACAGGAGUACUGAAUAUAACUUGAAAUAAAACCAGACAGUGUUUCUCAUGCUUAUUAAUCCAGAAACAAGCAAGCAAAUCAUCUGUAAACAAUAUAGCAGGUAACAGUUCGAAAAAGCUAUGGUGCAAUUUGGUUAAUAAACCUCAGCUUUCAACAUGAGAUAGAGGGUAGUAGUAACUCUUUUGCAACCACAAGCAUGCAUGUCAUGUUUUAAAUUGAUAAUUCUUCAAACUAUUGUAGUCCACAGAUCACAAAAGCCGCAGCUAAAUAAUGUGGUUACCAUUCAGUCAUUCACCAACAUAAUACUACAUUCAAAGUAUCACCUUGAACUACCUUCCUGAAAUGUUGAAACUGUCAAUGGUUCAAAAUUAUAUUGCCAAGCAACAUAACAUGCUCUACAACACAAUCACUGUGAAAAGCCAAUGUCAAGCAAAACAUCACAUCAUAUAUUCAGUUGAACAAAAGCUUUCACACGAAGUUCAAUGCACCACAUUUUUUGACACAAAUCUGGAAAUAAAUAAUCCAUUCGCUUUCAUCAAAUUGAAUACGCAGCAAUAACAAACUUCAAUUUUAAAAAGAGUCAUAAUAAUCUUAUUCACGAAAACCACAAAUAAAGAAAGGAACAUUAAAAUUCAAAUCCACCAUUAUAAAUCUACAUUCUUCAUUUAAAAAAAAAUUUAAACAUCAAUUUAUUAUAAACUAAACACUAAAUCAACGAAAAAGGGAAUAAACAGAAAAUAAUGAAAUCAAGAGCUGGUGAAUUUGGUAACAGCCUUAGUCCCUUCAGAAACAGCAUGUUUAGCCAAUUCUCCAGGAAGAACCAAUCUAACAGCAGUUUGAAUCUCCCUAGAAGUAAUCGUCGGCUUCUUGUUAUACCUAGCCAAACGAGACGAUUCCUGAGCGAGUUUCUCAAAGAUAUCGUUAAUGAAACUGUUCAUGAUUCCCAUAGCCUUGCUUGAAACACCGAUAUCAGGAUGAACCUGUUUCAGAACCUUGAAGAUGUAUAUCUUGUAGGUUUCAACGCUUUUCUUCGUUCUCUUCUUCUUCUUGUCGCUGCUUCCUUCCUUUGAGAUCUUCUUCUCCGCUUUUGGUUUCUUCUCGGCUGGAGCUUUCUCUGCGGGCUUCUUCUCCGCGGGUUUCUUCUCUGCCUUUGUUGGAGGCAUUGUUGAUUGGUUUGAAAGAUUGGGAAAGAGGUGAAUGAAGAUCAAGAGAUGAAAGGGAUGAAUGAAUGUGAGUGAAUUGGGGGAUUGAAGAGAGUGUAUUUAUAAGAUUGGGGGAUUGGUGCUGAUUGGAGGAAGUGGUGUCACGCGGAUCGAUGAGGUGGCGUGUUUGGAUGACGUUGAUUGAGAUUGGUUUGACUGACGGUGGAGAUUCCAGCUUGUUAUUUUUUGAAGAAUUUCGGACACGGAUCGAUGACGUGUAGUGUGCAUACUACUUAGCCUUGCUUAAGCCUUAUUUCGGUCCAUUAUUAUUAUUUGGAUAUGCUUAAAAGGGUUAAUUAUUAAUUUUUUUACAUUUAAACAUAAAAAAAUUUUGGAAGGAUUAAAACAAAAAAAUUUAUUACAAUCAAAUGUGUUUCAUCCAUCCUUAAUUAUAAGAUCAUUUUAAAAUAAAUUGUCACUAAAUAUAAGAUAAGAUAUCUACAAUUUUAUUACUAUCAAUGUCUGAAAUAUGUCCCUAAAUAUUUUAAAAAAAAUUGAGAGACGGUUCUUUAUUUUAGAGAGAAUAUUGUACUUCUUCCACUAACUCUCUCUUUCUCUUUCUUUCUACAUUUUAUGUUUAUCUCUCUCUAAAUUUUAGAGAGAAUAUCAAGAAGAGAUAGGAAAGAUAAGGAAAGAAAAUCUGUUUUCUCGCUUGGUUUGUUGGAUUGUGCUUGUGGUCGAGGGUUGGUUUUAGACCACUUUUGUUGUAGUUUGUUUUAGACACCCAGUCUUUUCUAACAUCUACGAAGUUGCAGAGGGCUCGCCAUUCCCCAAUCUUUUCUAACAUAUAAGGUGUUGCAGAGGGCUCACCAUCUACACCCCAUUUGUCUUUAAAAGAAAAACAAACAACCAAACCUCCACCAAAUGAUUAAGAGACAGGAGUAUAUACUACUCAAGUCAUAGUGUUGUAAAAUAGGUUACUUCUGCCUAGACCUGACAUGGUCUGGCUUAUAUAGAUUCUCAGGGUCCCAUGUGACCUAUUUCCACAUUAAUAAAGUGCAAGAGGAAAGUAACAAAUAGCUAAAUAUAAUCAGAAUAACAAUGGACCAGUAUAAAAAGGAUGUAUUAUUAAUUGGCCAAGCAAAGAUAAUGAGUUGAUAAAAAACCAUGUCUGGUUGUAUCCAAAAAUAAAAAACCAUGUCUCGCAUCCUUUACAAGUAUGAUUUUAAAGCUCGAGUACACAAACAGAUGCAAUCUUAAUUUUGAGAUUUGCACUGUGAAAAUGGGAAAAAUAAUCUUUGCUUCUCAAAGGGAAUGAAAAUGAUGGUUACGACCUCCGCUUGCAACCCAUCAAACUUGAAAUUUCAACGCCGGAAUUCUUAGAACCUGUGAAUUUCAGCAGAGAAGUUAAUGAUAGAACCCAAACAUCAAAACGUAAAAGAUUCAAUUCAGUGGUAAAGUUGCACUUAAUGCAAUAAAACAGGUGACAAAAAUGCUAAGUUACCUUCCCACCACAGGGAAAACAAAACAUUUGUAACAUAAUAAAUCAAAAUAUAGCACAACCUUUUUCACAUAAAUGCCAUUAGAUAAAAGCAUAAAAAGAGGCAUUCGUUCAAUUUUUAAGUAGUGAAUCAGAGAGAUGUAAAUGAUCUGUUAGCAGUGCCCGUGGAGCUGACUAAAGUAGAGCAAUAUCUUAAAUAGAGCUAGUUACCACAUUUCUUACAUGUCUAGCUCUGGAUAAACACAAUCCUUCAUCGCCUAUUUGAGCUUUAAUGAAACAAAAAGGCCAGAUUAACCAUAAUAACCAACAAAAGUACAUAAUUUCCGAUGAUGUAACAGGGUGUUGGUUUACCACGCAACACAUUAGGUCAAAAGUUUCCCUAGCUACAGACAAGCAUAUCACCCCCCACCCCCCACACACACACAAAUAAAAUAAGUUGCUAGAACCCAAAUUGAGGUUAUGGCCAAUCUCGGUAGCCAACUGGCUGAUGUUGAAGUCAAUUAGGAGAGUAUCCCUCUCAGCCAUGCAGUUCAUGCACAAAUUGUCUAUAGUCAAAAGAAUGACACAAUCAUUGCAAUUAGCAAAUCUGCAGACAUAAUGACUCACAUUGCAAUAUCAGCGACCAGAUCCAAAAUACAACCUUGAUAUGUGAGACGUAGGAUCUUUAUCCAACUGAAGUGACUGUGAUUGGUUUGUUUGCAACAAAUCCGAAUUCGUUAAAUUACCAAACUCCAUGGUUUCCGACAAGAAUCACAAUUUUAGAUUCUCUACCGUCACAAUUUCAGUAGCUGUGUUGUGGAUCUAGGUUAUUGGAUGAAAAUCGGACAACUCUUGUCCCAAUAGUAUUUUAAAAAAUAUUUGGGGAAGUUAAAUUACGAGUGAACUGAUCUUCAUCCAACGAAAUGGAUCCAUUGAACACAAUGACAACAUGGUUUGGCCAGCUACAGAUUUGCCAUUAUAAAAAUCAACCCAUCCACUACCAUCGGAUGGAGUUUGGAUCAAAUUGGAAUCACUGGAUGACGAUCGGAUCAAGAACUCUGAAUCCAAUCUUCAUCAAAUAGCUCCCAUUUAAUAACUGGAGUGACUGUGUUAUUUGUUAUCUAUAACAUCAAAUGAGGUUCCCCGAGAUCACAGCCUGAUUUGAGCUUUCGGGAAUCCCAUGUGUGUCUAUCAUCUUAGCAUCCUAAACACAUGAUCCAACUUCCUAACAGCCAAAUUCAUCCACAGCCAAAGAAAGUUGCUAGAACCAAAUUUUGAGGUCAUGGCCAAUCCCGGUAGCCAACCUGGCUCACGUGGAAGUGACUAUGAUCAACUUUGUCUACAACAUAUCCAAAUUCAUUAAAUUACCAAAACCCAUGGUUUCCGACAAGAAUCACGGCUAUAGAUUCUAUACAGUCACAACUUAAGUAGUUGCGGAUCUAAGGUUGUUGAAUGAAGAUCGGAUGACUCAUGUCCCAAAUUGUAUUUUAAACCAUAAACUAUAUUUGGAGACGUUAAAACUUAAAAUAUGAGCGAGAACUGAUCUUCAUCCAGCAGCAUGGAUCCAUUGAACACAACAACAACAAUGACAACAACAAGGUUUGGCAACUGCAGAUUCUAUACAAUAAAAAAUCAAUUUAUUUACUACCAUUCCAUGAAGUCUCUAUCAAAUUGGAACCAUUGGAUGAAGACCGGAUCAAUAAUUUUAAAUCCAAUCUUCAUCUAAUAGCUCAAAUUUGCUAAAUCGAGCGACCGCGUCAUUUAUUAUCUACAUCAAAUGAGGUUCCCCAGGAUCACAACCAGGGUGUUCCGAAACCCUAUUUGUGCCUACCAUCUAAACAUCUUAAACCCUAAACAGAAGAUCCAACUUCCUAACAGCUAAAUUCAUCAGCAACAAAAGCACAACUCAUAUGAAUAUACAAAAUAAAAUAAAAAACUCAAUAAACUAAUGGAACACUAAUAAACAUUAACCCACCAAACAAUCCAACAAAAUUCACAACGUAUUAACAAGAAAAAAUCAAACCAAGGGAAUAAAAUUAACAAAAAAACAAAAUUGUUGACCUUGGAGGAGCAGAACCAGCAUUGAGACUGCGAUGAAGAAUCCUAGCAGGAGCAGCAUCAUCAGCAUCAGUGUCAACAUCAGCAAUCAAAUCUUUCAAACCCAUACUGACAACAUCAGCUUCAUCAUCAACUUCAUCUUCAUCUCCAACUGGUGAUGAAUAAGGACGCACCAAAGGUUUUGGCGCAGUCCUCUGAAAAUAAUUCCCAUAAAUAUACUCAGGCGAAAACCCAUGAUCAUCACUAUACCCCAUAAUAUGCCCAUGCCAUUCCCACACAACAUACUCCCCUUCCUCAUCAUCAUGACACCCAACACAAAUACUACUCUCCCGAAUCGUAACCGCUUCACCGGAAUUUGCCUUCAGCUUAUCCCCUUCUCCACUGACAAUCAGCUUGAUAAUCUCCCCUUCGACUCUCGACUCUUCGCGUUGAAUUGCUUUCUGCCCGGCCUCCUGGUAAGUACAGGGAGCGUCGUCUUCGUCAUCGUCAGAGCCAAAAAGGAAAUCCUCGAAGGAUUUUCGGGAAGGGCUGUUGUCGUCAUUGACGUUGUCUGGAUCGUGAAGUUGAAUUUUUUUCAUCAGGGUUUCGAGUAAGAGAUUCUCGAGGUGGGUGAUGGUGGAGGAUGAAUCGUCGUUGUUGAUGCUUGGGAGGGAUGUCAUGGUGUUCGAUGAAAGUUCUCAGCGAAAUGGAUAUGCAGGGUUUUGUAAAUUGCGAAAUGGAAAUGGGUCUUAUUUAUAGCCUUAUAGGGGUUUAAGAAAUAUACACAACGCGUGGAUAUUUCUGCAACUCUUAAUCUUUUUCUAAUGGUCAAAUUAAAUUAACAUUUUAGGUGGUUUUACCAUUUCAUUGAAAAAACAACAUUGUUGAGUUUAUUCAACUCUACUAGUUUUAUUACUGUUUUAAUUAUGUGAUGGAUAUUUUUUUCUAUUCGAUUUGAAUUCUUUGGAUGCAAGUGAGAGAGACAUCAUGAUUAACUUUUCUUACUUUUAAAUUAUGAACACCGUAAAAUAUAUUUUUAAAUCAGUUAAAUGUAAUUAAAGCAUUAUAUAAUUAUUUAUCAUAUUAUUUUUUGAAUUUUAAAAAAAUAUAAAACAUAUUUAAAAUAUAAAUUUAGGCUUCGAAAGUUCUCUAUUCAAAACUCCUUCAAAAUAGACUCUUAAUUAUAUACUCUUGCAUGAAAUUGCUUCCAGACUCAUGUAGGAUGUUAUUUUAAAUGUAUUUUAUUCUACCAUUAGAUAAAUAUUUUAUUCAAUUUUUAUUCGAGUAUUUUUAGUGUCAAUAAGUUUGAUGUAAUAUUGUAGUUGUGUGAUGAAGAAUUUUUUCUUUACAAUUCGGCUUGAAUUCUUUGAAUCUAAUUGAAAUAUGCAAUUGCAUUUAGUUGUGUACCAUGCAUCAAAUAUGAUUGAUUCUACAAAGAGAUGGUAUAUCAAAUAAUAUCGUCUCUUAUUUCAUUUUCAAAAGAGUCAACUUUCUUUAAAAAAAAAAAAAUCAACUUUGUCUUUUAAAAAAUAAUAUUUUUAUCUUUUUUUUUUUGUCGGAGUUCGAACCCCAAACCUUACAUAUAUUAUAUUUUGUGCAUGAAUACAAAUUCUAAGGUAAAUUCUAGAAGAAAAUGGUGUGUUAAAUACGGUUGAUUCUAGAAGAAUAUGAUGGAUAAUGCUAAUUUUAAUAGAAAAUGACACAUCGAAUAAGAUUGCUUCCAAAAGAUGUUAUAAGUUGGUUUAAAAAAAUGGUAAUUUACCUUUGCGUUGGAAAGUAAUAUUUUGACUGGUGCUAGUCACACCAAAAAAAAAAACAAGUUACACUCCAGAAUAACUAAUAUACCCUUUAACUAAAAUAAAAAUUUCAAAUCAACUAAAUUUACAUUAACGUAAAUUGAACAUAAGUAAACUUAAUUUACAUUAACCUAAAUUGAACAUAAGUAAAUUUAAUUUACAUUAACCUAGAUUGAACGUAAGUAAAUUGAAUUUACAAACUUAAUUUACAUUAACCUAGAUUGAACGUAAGUAAACUGAAUUUACAUUAACCUAGAUUGAACAUAAGUAAACUUAAUUUACAUUAACCUAAAUUGAACGUAAGUAAACUUAAUUUAUAUUAACCUAGAUUGAACGUAAGUAAACUUAAUUUACACUAACCUCUUAUAUACAUACGUAAACUAAAUUUACAUUAACCUAAAUUGAACAUAAGUAAACUUAAUUUACAUUAACCUAGAUUGAACGUAAGUAAACUGAAUUUACACUAACCUAAAUUGAACAUACGUAAACUUGAAUUUACAUUAAUCUACAUACGUAAACUACACUAACCCCUUUUAUAUACAUACACGUAAACUUAAUUUACACUAACCUCUCACUUAAAAUCAAAUUGACAGACAUAUCUCAUACCAAAACAAACAAUAAACAAAUAGAAACUCAUCGAAAAUGAAAUUCAUAAAAUUCACUAACCUUUAUGAAUAUAGUACAGAUCAAUAACAAAAAUGUUGAUUCAGAUGUUGGUUGCACAUCUAUGGUGAUUUGUGGAUGAAAGGGGGUAAGAGUUCAGAAUGAUCAUAAAAGAUGAGUUUUUAAAAAUUUACAUGAAGAGGGCACUUUUGGUAUUAUUAUAAAAUUUUAAAUAAAUUUGGAUGUAACUUGUUUUUUUUGGGAUGUGACUAGCACCAGUCUAAUAUUUUUUACAAAAUUUGAUCAAAUCUAAUUGUUUGUAUGGAAAGAUGCAUUUUUUAAAAAAUAUCAUUAAAUUAUAAAAAAUAAAAAAAAAAUGUCAAAAGGAAAAAAGGUAAUUGUAACGAAAACUUAAUAAAGUGAAUAUAAACUAACGAAAACAAAUUUAAAUGUAAGGUUGAUGCGUUCUUUUCUCAAGCUCGGGACCGGGUUGGCAUUGGUGUGUGCAUUUGAGAUGAUGAAGGUCGUUAUGUUUUGGCCAAGACUAAAUGGAUGUCUCCGCUCCUUGAUGUGAAUUUGGGUGAGGCUUUAGGCUUAUUAUCAGCCAUUUAAUGGGUUCGCGAUCUGCAGCUAGGUAGUGUGGACUUUGAGCUUGAUUCCAAAAUUGUGGUAGAUAGUCUUUAUGGCAAUAAAAGUGGCGUCUCUAAUUUUAGCGCAGUAAUCAAUGACUGUAGACGCUUGUUAACUUCUGAUUUAGUAACCUUUGAUGUUAGGUUUAUUUGGAGACAAGCCAACGAAAACACUCAUAGUUUUUGUUAGAGUGGUUUUGCGUCUUGCUAGUUUUCAUAUUCAUAUUAGGAUUCCAUCUUGUAUCUCUACUAUUAUUAUGAAUGAAAUGCAAUAAGUUUCUUCUUGUAAAAAAAAAAAGUAAAUAUAAAAAAUGUAUUUAUAAUUUAUUAAUUUAAAAAAAAAAAUUGUCAUUUUUAAACCUUAUUUUAAAUAUGUGUUACAUCAAACAUGAUGGUAGUUUCUUUUUUUGGUGGUGUUCGGGGUUUGAACCGCAGACCUUACAUAUAUUAUGCAUUGUCCCUACCAACUGAGUUAAGCUCAUGAGGACCAUGAUGGUAGUUUCUAGAAGGAUAUUAUAUUUUAUUUAAAAUAAAAAUAAUAAUGUUCGGUUAUAUAAAUGUGAUGGGAAGAAAAUUCAUUUUGUACAAAACAUGAUUGAAUCUUACCUAAAAAAAUGAAUUUUUUUUUAAUGGCAAAUAUAUAUAUAUAUAUAUAAAGAUAAACUGUACAAAAUACACUAAAGGAGCCGCCAAUAGACGCUCACAAAGACCCCCAUAGAGCGACCCCAUGCCCAACAAGCUAGGUGGGAAGAAGCCUGAGGGAGGUCCAAGAAACACCAAAAAGAAAUGACACCAAAAGAAAAGCCAAGAAACAACACAAACCACCAACCAAAAAACACUUGUUGAAACAGAGAAGGAGAGAGAAGGUAUAACCAGGAGGUCGGCCGAAGGAGAGAAGGCAGAGAAACCUCACCAAUCCCCCACACGUACCCAAUCACCCCCUCAAAACACCCUACCGCUGCCAACACAAGACGAGCUGCACCUCCUACUCAUGAUAAGUGCAAGAACUAGCAGGGCACUUAGGCAAGAACCACUUCCAAGCUAUGAGUUUUGCUUUAUCCACCACAGGUUCAUCGCAGAGUACACCAUCCGAAAAAAUAAGGUUGUUCCGAGAUGUCCAGAUGGUCCAAACAACACCAUGUCAAACAAGAAGCAAUCCUAACCUAACUCUCUUCCCCCUCCUAACCCCGUGAAAACCUGGAACUGCUGGGCCAGGCCAGGCCAAGGGGAAUGACAAACUCCCAACCCAACUACCUAGACACCUGAUACCACACCGGAAAGACAGGAGAACAAAGGAGAAAGAGGUGCACCGAGGAUUCAGACAACGCAAUACAUAAAACACACCCCCAAGGCCACGUCAGGAAGAAGGGCACCACGCACAAGGGAUUACGCAUGGUGGGAAUCCUAUCAAGAAUAAGCUGCCACGAAAAAGCUAUGAUCUUAGGCAGAGCCCACGACUUCCACACUCUGGCAACAACGUGCAAAGCAGGACCAUCUGGUGCACCCGAAGUCGGCAGAGCUUGAGCCAAAAAAGAAUAAGCCGACUUAACCGAGUAGCGACCAUCAGAGUUAUGAGUCCAAGACCGCAUAUAUUCCUUCUUCGAUCGAGAGUGUCUAGGAGCAACCAAAAACAACUCAUCGAGUAGGUCCGACUCCCAAACAAACAAAGGUCUCCUCCACAUAAGGUUCCAAAUCCGGACACUCCCCACCCACAUACCUAACUCCCACACACACCCUCCAGCCUGGGUAAAGAGUUGGAAAAGCCGACUAAAUCUAACCCUAAGAAUGUCAUUCAAGCUUCUCUUAGGGGUGGAGAGUGAAAUGUUUUCUAAUAUGUUUUGAAUAAGAGAGGGAAAUAUAUAUUUUAACAUAAGAGGAGAGAAGACUGUAAUUCAAGCAUCUUUGAAGGGAUGAGAGUGUAAUUUACUCUAUUUUUAUUUCCAAUUAUCUAGCAAAAUAAUUAUAAUCGAACACACUUUGAGAAAAAUAGUAUUGCGGGUCUAUUUUAGUAUAAUUAAAAUUUGAAUACAUAGUUUUUGCUACUUUUUAUUCACAAUUUUAUUAACAAAUAGUUUUAAACCCUAUUAUAAAGUAUGAAACAACCGAAAAUAAGAUUAAAACAUGUGAAAAAUUACUAAAGACAAUAAAGUAUGGUUUCUUAAAAGUUAAUUUUAUACUCUAAAUUAUACAAUUAACAACAUAAUAUUUAAAUUUAAUUAUUAUUGUCAUUUAAAUUAUAAAUAAAUUAAUUUAUUUUACUUAAAUGAUGGUUCAAAGCUAGUAUAUAUUAUAAAAAUAUUUAUUUAUCUUAAAAUAAAUUAAAGUGUAGUAUAUAUUUAAUUAUUAAGGGGUGGGAGUUGUAAUUCAAGCAUUUUAUAUGAGAGGGGAGUAUAAAUUUUAUUUUUCAAGGGAGGAGAAUGUACAUUAAAUAAAGAGUGUAAUUCAAGCUUCUCUUAAAGGAGGGGAGUGUAAUUUACUCAAAAGUUAAAUUAUACAACAAAAAAAAAAAACUUACCUUAAAACAACAAUAUAAAAAAACUUUAUAAUGUAAAUGUAAUAAGUCAUUUUUCUUUUGUAGAAAUAAUGAAGUGAAUUUAAAAACUUUAUAAAAUUAGAAAAAAAUAAUUAAUUCAAUUAAAAUAUAUUGAUGUAUUUAGGGAAGAGUUAAAUUAUUCAACAACAAAAAAAACUUACCUUAAAAAAGAGUAAAAGACAAUUUAAAAAACUUUAAAAAGUGAAAGGUACAUUAAAUAAAAUCUUAAACAUGAUUAAAAUCAAAAUAUAUUGGUGUGUUUUAGGGAAAAGUUAAAUUAUACAAUAAAAAAAACUUACCUUAAAAAACUAUACAAAGAAACUUUUUUUUGUAGGAAAUAUAAAGAAACUUUAUAAUGUGAAUGUAACAACAAAGAUGGGUUUUUAGAAAUUUAUAUGAAGAGGGCAAUUUUGAUAUUAUUGUAAAUUUUAAAUAAAUUUAAAUGUAAUUUGUUUUUUUGAGGUGUGACUCGGUCAUGUAAUAAAGUCAUUUUUCUUUUGUAGAAAUAAUAAAGUGAUUUAAAAACUUUAUAAAGUUAGAAAAAAAAAAUGAUUAAUUCAAUUAAAAUAUAUUGAUGUGCCGCUGCAACAUCAUUCUCUUCGGCGAGUUCUCCUUCUUUUUUUCCGAAUCUCGAUUCUUUCAGCGUUCAAUUCAACCCAAUCUUCUUGCACAAUUUCUGCGGUUAGUGAGUUAUUAUCUCUCAAAAUUCUCUUGUUUCUAUUUUCUUAUUAUUAUUAUAGCAGUGGAAUCAUGCAUGAUCUAUUGAUUGGUGAGGGUUUCACAUAAUUUUACUUUGAUUAUUAAAUCUUACUUAGUCUGUACUGUUAGUUUUGAUUCAAUAUAUAAUAUGAUUUGUUGAAUCGAAUCGAAUCGAUUUCCAGAAAACCAGUCUCCAACACCAAAUUUUAGUCUGUUGAUUCAUAAUUCAUAAUAGAUACGCAAGUUAUAUAGUUUUAGUCUAGACUAGGUACCAACAUUUAUACCCUAUGACUGAGCUGAUUGUUGUUUAUGGCUCGAUCCACUAAAAUCUUUUACCGGUUCGACCACAUUAGGACUUUCGUCAAUGCGGAGGUUAAAUGCUUCCAAGACAACUAUCUUGAUACUGCACUUGAAAACACGAUUUCACUUCUCAUCCUCCUCCGUUGUGUGUAGCAGAAAGAAAGAUAAAGAUAAAGAGAAAGAGGAAUAAAAAUGGGGAUCCGAUUCGUUUUAAUGGUGAACAAACAAGGUCAGACACGUCUUGCUCAGUAUUACGAAUACCUCACCGUUGAAGAACGAAGAACCCUUGAAGGCGAAAUCGUUCGUAAAUGCCUCGCCCGUAAUGAAAACCAGGUAUGCGUCCACUCUUUUCUUUUAUUUUCAUCAGAUCUCCAUACCUUACCUUCAAUUUUAGCUAAUUGACCCUGUCGUUGUUUAUUAUUUAUUCAACCCUAGUUUUAGGGUAUGCUUGGAUCAUUGAAGGUAGCAAUUAGAUUGAGAGCUUAAUUCAAAAUUGAACAAAAACUAGGUUUACAAUUUGACUCAACUGAAUAUCAAACAUAAACACUUGUGAGAAUAUGGAAACAGCUUAUAACAUGUUCAUAAGUUGCUUCAAGAUUAUUUCCAUAAGUUCUCCAUGAUAGAUUAUGAAAUCAGCUAAUAGUUAUAGCUUAUUCGAAAACAGAGUUAUUUUAUUUUAUCUUUUGUUUUAGAAAUAGCUUAAGCAUUAGUACUCAUAUGAUAAAUUUUUGUUGUAAGCACUUAAUUAACUUGUUUAUCUAAAUAAGAUAUAGAUGUCUUGGAAGGUUAUUAUUUGAAAUUUUUAUCAUAGACGGGAGAAAAUAGUUGGUUUCCUUUCACACCCCGCCAAAUUGGGGAAAAGAAAGUAGUUAGUGAAGUAAAUAAAAUAUUGUCAACUAAAUAAAAUAAAAAACUUAGGGUCAUUCCACUUUCUUUCGUUCCUGUAUGUCAAUACAACAUGGCCUAAGGUAUUCGGUCAAUGAUUAAUAUGUGGCUGAUACAUUUUUGUCAUGGACAGUGUUCAUUUGUUGAGCAUCGCAACUACAAAAUUGUAUACAGGCGCUAUGCAUCUUUGUUUUUUCUGGUUGGAGUUGAUGACGGCGAGGUAAUUCAUUGUUUCUAUAUUUCUCAUUCUAGUUGAUUUAUACAAAGGUGGUGAAUAUUUUGAAAUAAGCAGAUUGUGUUAAAUAGUCUAGUUUUGAUGUAACUGACCAGUGGUCAUGGCUUCAAAUGUGAUCGGCCUAGCCUUGCUUGUCUAAAGAAACUGAAUGAAUUUUCUGUUGUAAACUGAGAAACCUGAAGUUAUUAGUCUUGUUCCACAUUUCAGCUUCAGCAAAAUUUCCCAUGUAUCACUUCCAUUGUAAAUAAAUAUGAUAUCGCUUCAAAUCCGGCUUCAACUUUAUUGUUCAUUCUACCUUCUGUGGAUAAUUUUGCAGAAUGAGCUUGCUAUUUUGGAAUUCAUCCAUCUCUUGGUCGAAACCAUGGAUCGACAUUUUGGCAACGUGGUAAGUACUGUUGUGACUAAGAGUCUCUGGAGUUUUGUGUUUGUUGAAAUUGAAAGUAAUGUGUCUCCUCACAUUACUUCCAUAAUGUCUAUUGUUUUCUUCCUUCCAUAUUCUGAACUUGGCUUUAGCCAAACACUGAUUUUUUGUUUCUCAAAUUUGCAGUGCGAGCUAGAUAUCAUGUUUCAUUUAGAAAAGGUACAUUUUAUGUUGGAAGAAAUGGUCAUGAAUGGUUGUAUUGUGGAGACGAGCAAAUCAAAUAUUCUGACUCCUAUUCAGCUUAUGGAUAAAACAUCGUAAGAGAUACAACGGAAACAAAAGAAGAAUUCAUGUAUCUAUGUUACAAUUACCUGUCACUGCUGCUUUAUUAUGUGUGAAUACAAACUGCAUCAGUUUAUCGUCAAUUUUCUUUUUCUUCAUGAAUAAAACAAAAGUUGCGUAUUUCAUUUUUAUAAUUUCCUACCUGCUUGAUUGUAUUGACUAUGACUACUGAUUAUUUGCUUUAAUUUCUUUUUUUCAUUUUUGGUGGCCACAAAUACAACAUUAUAUGCUUUUAUAUAAAAAAAAUAAUGUAUACAUGAUACAUACGAGCAUUAUGAUAUAUACAAUCUUUCUUUUUUCUUUUUCCACCGACAGAAAGUGUAUAAUUGGAUGGGUAUUCAUGAAAUAUAAUUUUGAUUGGAGAUAAUUACAUUUAUCUCCCUGAGAUUUCAGUAAAAGACGCUCACACUCCCUUUAAUUCGUAAUUUUUUUUUACCUCCCUUUGGUUUAACACCGUUAGCCAUAGUUAAACAAUUUGGAAUACCAAAAAAAAUAAAGAUGGAAACCCAUAUUUUGUUUUUAAAACCGUUAUUCAUUGCAUUCUUGAAUUCUCUCACAAAACAAUGAAAAGUCAUCCCUUCGUAUCUUAAUCGAUGAACCUUACGGACAUUCUCAUUUGAUCAAGUCUUCUCUACUUGUAACUUCUUUAUUUUCUUCUCGACAAAACAGAAAACAAUCAAAAUACGCAUUACUGUCCUUGUUAGCCUUUAUUAUUUAGUGUAAAUAAGCUAACUGCUUGUUGUCUUUGUCAUUUAGCAUUCUUUAUUAUUAUUUUGCAGCAUGCCAGUGUCAACUUAUGCUCAAUUAUAUUACUUGAUGAUACUCAGUAGAAAAAAAAGAGAUCAACAGCCACCUUAUGCUCCAAUUAAUAAUGCAUCAUCUCAAAAUGCAUAAAAUGUCAAUCAUUUUGAACAAACAAGAUGUAGAAGAUACAAAUGUAAAAGAAGAUUAUCCUGGAACAAAUGCAAAUAAGAUAAAAAUAGGUGAGAUGUGGAGUUCUAAAACGAAAAAAACAACUUCACAGCAAAUAAAGAUUUAGGAUACAUGAGUUAGGAAACUGUCCUUGAUGAAAUGGAAGAGAAAAGAUACAAAAGUGGUUGUCUGACGUAACUGUUGUGCAAAAAGGCCCUGAGAUUGCAAAGAAGAAGAAGAGUAUACAUCAUCCUUUAUAAUAGAGACUUUCUUUUGUCUUGAAAAGGAUUAUUUUUAAAAUAAAAAUAAGAUUAAAUAGGAUAAAAAUUUGUAUUUUUCGCUUACAUUUUAGACAAAGAAAGUGAAGAAAAAAAAUUGGCUUAAAUAUGAUAAUCGUCGCUGUAAUUUGGGUCAAUUUUGAUUUUCGUUCCUGUAAAAAAAAACUUUGAAAUACAUUCCUGUAAAAAAAAAUUUGUUUGAAAAAGGUCCUGACCUCACUAUUCAGCUGAUUUGACAUGGUUUUGGCCACAUGGCAGUUGCUACGUGGCGUGGCCCAUAAUAUUAGUUUUUUUUUUUAAAAUUAAAAUUCUGAAAAUUGUUUUUAAAAUAAAAAAAUCAGAAAAUAAAUUUUAAAAUAUUUUUCUGUUUUUUUUUUUUAUAAUUUUCAAAAUAAAAUUAAUUUUUUUAAUAAAAUAUAUUCUGAAAUUUCUGAAUUUUUUUUUUAAAUUAAAAAUUUCGUAAAAGAACAAGAAAUUAGAUUAUUUUUUUAAAUUAUAAUUUAUUUUUGAAAAUUUUUAAUUUAUAACUUUUGAAACUAUAAUUGUCAUUAUUUUCGAAAAAAAUUUAAUAUAUAAUUUUCAAAAUAAAAAAAAUCUAUUUUUUCGAAAAUUUAAUUUUCACAUUUUUUUUUCAAAAUUUAUAAUUUUAACAGUUUUUAUGUCAAAAAAUUAAGUUUUUGAAAAUUUUAAAUUUCAAAGUUUUUUUGGAAAUAUUUUAUGAUUUUUAAAAAAAUAAUUUUCAGAUUUUUUUUUAAUUACGUGAUAGUCAGCGCCACAUGACAAAAGUUGCACAGUCAACAACUGACACGUGGCGAAUAACAUGCCAAGUCAGCCAUGUAGUGGGGCCAGAGACCUUUUUCAAACAAUUUUUUUUUAGAGAGAUGUAUUUCAAUUUUUUUUUUACAGGGACGAAAAUCAAUACUAGCCAUUAUUACAGGAAUGAUUAACAUAUUUAUUGAAGGGAUACAUUAGAAGAGAGAAAACAAAUUAUAAAUUUAAGAGACCACAAAUUAUAAAAACUUAAAGGAUCUUGCUAACCAUUGCCCUUAAAAAAGUUAAAAGUAGCAUGUUUGCAUUGGUUUCAACAACAUUUUGACUUUUAAAAAAUUAAAUUUAUCACUUUUCAUCAAUUUAUAAUACUAUAUUUAUAUUUUUAUCCCUUGUCUAAUGCCCAAGAAUGGUUAGCCUUCUUCAAACUUAAAAAGUGAAUCUUAUGAUUAAAAGAAGAAGUGAGCAUAACCAUGUGGUUUGCAUAGCAUAGUUACGAUGGUGAUGCGGGUAAUGGAUAGCAAUAAUGAGAAUGAAAAGAAGAUCAAAGGGCUAUUAAUUGAGUGACAAUAAGAGCGCGAGUGUAUGUGUUGUUUUGAUUUCCCCAAUUCAACGCCCAACUUAGUGAUGAGUGUCGACGUUACACGUUUUCCCUCUUUUCUUUUCAUUCUCUCUCUUUCUCGUUUUCCUGUUUAGAUCUUAACUUUCCUCUUCCUCAUCUUCACAGGUAUUUCCACUUUUCUCUUCAUUUAUUCAUUCAUCACUACUUCACCAAUUAUUAUUAUUAGAUGUUUUUCAUUUUUCAUAAAUUAUUUCAUUGUUGUGAUUGUAAUUAAUUAAUGAUCGACACUCGCAGAGGAAUAGGUUUUGGUUGUUUCGAUGGCUGCUCCACCUGCCAGAGCUCGUGCUGAUUACGAUUAUCUCAUUAAACUUCUCCUAAUCGGUGAUAGCGGUACCAUUUUUGUUUGGAUAAAUUCUUCUGAUCUUGUAUUUGGCAUUGAAAAUUCGAAUUUAUUGUUAUUUGUUUACUAAAUUGAAAGCUAUGUUUGGCAUCACUCUGAAUUUUCAAAAUCCAUACUCCGUAACUUUCACGAAAUCAAGAUGUGAUUAUGGCAAACUCACCCUGAUACCAAACAAGUACUUAGUAUUUUGUAUCUGAUUAUGCUAUUGUUCAUAUUGGUAGGUGUUGGUAAAAGUUGUCUUUUAUUGCGUUUCUCUGAUGGGUCUUUUACAACUAGUUUUAUCACAACCAUUGGGUAGGUUUCUUUUGUGCAAUCAUGUAAUAUUUGGUUCCGUUUUAUUCUUUUGUCUCUAUCUGUUGUGGUGGUGAGAUGGCUCUGAUGUCACUGGAUUAUUUUAUUUUUAUUCUUCAGCAUUGACUUCAAAAUAAGGACAAUUGAGCUUGAUGGAAAGCGAAUCAAAUUGCAAAUAUGGGACACAGCCGGUCAAGAGCGGUUUCGAACUAUCACAACUGGUUAGUGUGUAAUUGAAAUUUCAUAAAUAUAGACACAGCUAGAAGCCUAUAAUGUUUUACACUAUGUUUGGAACUGCGUUGGUCUACCAUUUCUCACGUCCUAAUGUCCUCUGGCCAUGAUUUUUGUGAAGCUAGAAGUUGGAGCUUCAGACUUAACACAAUUCGUCCUUUUUCCACCGCCAAUACAAACAACUAUUUAAUGCAAGCUCCAUUGUGAUUUUUCAUGUACGGAAUUUUUAUGGGCUUGUUUGGAUAAACAACUUAUUUGUAGUUUACAGCACAUGCGCUUAUCAUGAUAAGCGCUUAUAUAAGCUUGCAUAAUGUAUUUUUUAGCAAAAGAUAAUACAAUAUAUAAGUUGUUUUACAUGAAUCACUAAUUGCACUCUACGUGUAUUCAUAUUUUGAAAGUUCUGUAAGAUUUUUUCAUUUUCAACACUAAAAAAUACCACUUUAAGCAUGUGACUCGAUAAUCAUUCAAAAACUCAUCUCUCAAUUGAUUACAUAUUUAAUUCUUCACAAAAUUAAUAUUAGGGUGUGUUUGGAUGGAGGGUUUGGGAGGGGAAGGGAGAGGAGGGUUUACUUUUCAUUUUUGAAUUACGGACACUAUAAAAUGUUUUAUAAAAAGUUAACAUAUCAACCUGAUAAACAAUCAUAUAAUACUUCAAUCACACUUAAUUUAUUUUAGAAAAACAUGUUAUAUAUUCCGUAAUUUAAAAACAAAAAGUAAACCUCCCCUCCCAAACCCUCAAUCCAAAUACACCCUUAGAGAACUUCUUUCAUGGUUUGAGUUUCCAUUUAGCGGGGGCAAGACAUUGUUUGUUUGAUAUAUGUAACUGAUUCCACCUAAUGGAAAAGGCCUUUGUUGUUGUUGUAAUAUUAUGUUGUAUAAUGUUUCUUAGUCUUUCAAAUUUAAAUAUCAAUUAGCUUCUGCUAUGAUUUCGUAUAUGUAAAUUGUUGAGCUCUGUCACAAGUAUUAUUCCUUCCUUUGCAGCUUACUACCGUGGAGCCAUGGGUAUUUUGCUUGUAUAUGACGUUACUGACGAGUCUUCUUUUAACAGUAAUAUUUUCUUCCCCCUUCUCUCUUACAUUAAACACCAUUCCUCUUUUAAUAUCCUUAAAUUCGUGUUUCCUUAAAUCGUAACAUCUUGUAGAACAUCCAUUAUAUUCAGUGAACACAAUUAUUUAACAGUUCCACCCGCGUCAAUUGGCUUUCAAUGCUUGCAAUGAGUUUUAAGCGCUAUUACAUGACAAUAGGACUUAUUUCAUCUCAUGUCCAGAUAUCAGGAAUUGGAUUCGUAACAUUGAGCAGCAUGCUUCUGACAAUGUUAACAAGAUAUUGGUGGGCAACAAAGCUGACAUGGAUGAAAGCAAACGGGUAUGUCCUCUCUCAUUCUCAUUUCUACUUAUUGGAUUAUUUUAUGUACUUAUAUGCAUUGGGCACAUAUUUUUAUGCAUGAUGAUAUCUAUCAAUGUUCUCCUUAGGCUGUGCCAACUUCUAAGGGCCAAGCGCUUGCAGAUGAAUAUGGUAUCAAGUUUUUUGAGACUGUAAGUAGCUCUCACGUCUCAAUGCACAUUGUAAUUGCACGCAUAAAUCACUAAUCUAUUGGUAUUGAUUAUGCUCUUGCCUGUACAGAGUGCUAAAACAAAUUUGAAUGUGGAGGAGGUUUUCUUUUCAAUAGCCCGGGACAUCAAACAAAGACUUGCAGAUACUGACUCAAAAUCUGAGGUUUUAUUUUGGACCUUUUACUAGUUAUCAUUGAUUGUCUCCCGGUUUUUUUUUUUGAACCCUUUUAUAAUUGCAUUAUAUCAUAUGUGAUUAAAUGCAAGAUUUCAUGGAUGUAUUUAGUUUCAUGUUUACAUCAUUGUUGCCUUGCAUCCUAAGUUUAACAAAAAUCACUCUCCGGGUUGAAUUCUCUCAUCAGUUCCCUUCUAAGUUUUCCAUUUUGUUCUUUGCAGCCCCAGACAAUCAAGAUUAACCAACCAGACCAGGGAGCAGGGGCUGCCCAAGCCGCCCAAAAAUCUGCAUGUUGUGGUUCUUAAUGGGAAGCUUGAGGGCGUACAUUUGACUUAGAAAUUUAAUUUUGUCAACGACUCUGUCAUUAAUGCAUGUAUGAUUCAUGUUAUUUUACAGUUGCUACUCAUUGGGUGUGAAUGGUAGAUUUUUUGUAUGUCGGGAAAUUAAUCACGUCAAUUUGUUGUUUGCUUAAACCCACUCUUUUUCAGGAGCUUGGUCAUGCACAUCGUGCCUUUCUUGAAGCCAAUAAGGCUCAAAGCAGGAACCACACCAUAUUUGGCUUAUGGUCACAGUGUAGUUAACAUUUAUGGUACUCCCAAAUAACUGAAUCUGAGUGACUACGAAUCAAAUCCACAUUGAUGCUAGGCAUCACACAUUCAUUCUUCAGUUUGGAGUUUCCAGAAAAAAGCUGAAUACCCAUUGAUUUCAAAGACGUGGAUAACAUGCCAAAAUGACAAAAUUAAGAGUUUAAGCCUAUGUUUAUUUCUGCUGUGUUAGCUUGCAAAUGCGCAAACUGAGAAAUAACUUUUGUGGUCAAGGAACUUAUGAUAUGGUUUUACCUAAACAUACAGAAAAUGUUCCAUUUUACUCCCUCCGGUCCUUAUUAUAAGAAAAAGUUGACUUUUUAGGUUCAUAGAAUAAUUAAUGCAUCUUGUUGUAAAUAUAGACUAAAUACAUCGCUUACAUAAUAAACUAAAAAAGUCAUUUGUUUCUUAUAAUUAGGACCGAAAGGAGUAAUUAAUUUGUGGGUGACAUUGCUUUCAAGCUGACAUUGCUUUCAAGUUGCACCUGACGUGCUAACAAUCUUUUUAGAAGUCUAAAGAAGAAACUUUUUUUUGAAAAUUGUGUAUUCAACACGUUGAAACUUUAAAAAGUAACAUUUUUUACAUAAGAUUUACAAAUAAUUUUCUCUUGAAAAAUGUUAACAAGUGUUCUAAGGGCAUUGUUUAAGCAUCUAAAAGUAGCAAUUUUUUGCAUUGGGAAUUGUAUGGUUAUAACUCUAACAAGUGUCUAACUUAUAUUUUCAAGGCAUAAUUUCUUUUUAUGGAUUCUUUAAACAACGUCCUUAGAGCAUUUGUUAACAAGACCAUUUUCUCUUUUGAAUCCUUAACAAGUGCUCUCUCACCGGUGGUUUUAAAAAACCUCGCGAACUGACUUGGGUUACAGGUGUAGUUUUGGGUGUAUUGACUGCAUCCUUUGGUGUAACCGGUUGUUCCUUACCUUGGGACCAAAUUGGUUAUUGGGCAGCAAAAAUUGUAACAGGUAUACCCAACGCUAUUCCUGUAAUAGGAUCGUUGGUGGUAGAGUUAUUGCGCGGAAGCGCUAGUGUGGGACAAUCUACCUUGACUCAUUUUUAUAGUUUGCAUACUUUUGUAUUACCUCUUCUUACUCCCGUAUUCAUGUUAAUGCACUUUCCAAUGAUACGUAAGCAAGGCAUUUCCGGUCCUUUAUUGAAUAAAAAAACGAAAAAACAUAAAUCAAUCAUAGAUAUUUGUAAUUAAUCAUUUUGGGGAGGAGAAUAGUAUUUCAUUGCUACAAAUAUGCAUUAUUAAAAAAUAUAUAUAAUAAGACAUGUAUUUGGAUAUUUCCAUUCAACUUAACAAAAUAAAUUGCAUUCUUUAUUUGAUAUACACAAAUAGUUGAAGGGAACCCUCCGAAAAAAAAAAAAGGAUUAUGGGUGUGUGUGACUUAAACUAUUGAUUGGGCUGUGCAGUAUGACUUGAUCUUAUCUGCCACAUUUGAAUUCACAAUUAAAUGUGUCUUUUUUCCAACCACCGCGCCAGUCCCCUACGGAGGAUAGGCCGGUUCGCUUGAAGAGAAUCUUUUCUAUGAUCAGACUCUAUCAUAACUUGCAUGAAUAGGCUCCGUAAUAUCCAAUAAUAUAAGUUAAAUAAUGUGAUAUUAUCCGCAUAACCCAUAUAAUAUAUGUCAAAUCAACAAUUUAAUACGAUGCAGAGGACACAACAAUACACGAUAGGCUGAAAGAUAAACAUUUAGCUGCACAGAGUAAAAUUAAACCGAAAUAUUGUUGGAUAUACGCUAUAACGAAUCCACAGCUAGGGACAUAGUUCCUUGCUCGUCAAUCGCUUGAAAAAAAAAAAUCGAACCCCAACCCCUGCAUAUAAUAUGCAAUAUUUCUACCAACUGAGUUAAGCUUACGGGAAUAUUUCUUACUGUAUUAACUACUAAUAAAGAGGAUAUAUGUUUUUCUUAGCCUACAUAAAUUACCAUCAACAUUUGUACUCUUAAAUCCAUUAAUUAUUACUAAACUUUUAUAACGAGACACGUUAUGAUCAAAACAUAGUAGAGAAAAGUGGAUAAACAUGACUUUAGUCCCUGCAUUUUUGGUAGUUUUAAAUAUAUAUAUUUUUUUGCAUAAGUAUAAUCAUAGUUUAGAGAAUAAAUUGGGAGUGAUGCUAAUUUUUUUUGGCACGAGAUGAUAAAUUCUACUCCCUCUUAAGCUAUAAGUCCUUUUUAGCAUUUUACAUAGAUUAAAAAAUAUAAUCAAUUUUUAUAUAGAAAGAAAAAUUAUAUUAUAAUUUACAAAAUUAUCCUUCAUUAAUGGAAUGCCAAAAAUAAAUUAAAGAAUUAAAAGAAAAAAAGUUAAAUAUAUAAUAGGAAAAUUGACAUUAUAUAUAUAUAUUUGCGUUGAUCCACCGAUUCUCAUGGACUUUGGUAAAAUCCAUUAAACACUUGUUCCCGUGAGCUUUGUUCAGUUGGUAGGGACAAAUGUAUUUUAUAUGCAGGGGCCGGGGUUCGAACCCCGACACUCCACUUCUCCAUAUUUAAAAUGUGUGAGCUUCAGCCACUAGGCUACCUGACAAAAAAAAAAUAAAAAUCCAUUAAACACUUGAAUUCAAUUGCGUGAUUACAUUAAUAUUUGUUUUUGAAGGAAACAUUAAUAUAUUAUUGGUUAUUAUUUUUUUUGGUGGUGCUGGGGUUUGAACUCCAAACCCUGCAUAUAUUAUGUAUUGUCCAUAUCAAUUGAGCUAAACUCACGAUGACAUUUUAUUGGUAUAUUAUAAAUUGACUUGGAACAUUUUUAACUAUUUAUAUUUUAGGACAAUACUUUUUUUUUAAUAACAAAUAAAUUGAUGAUUUAUUUUAAAAAUAAAAAAUAAUGAAAGAGGCUUUUGUACCAAAAUAAAAUAAAAAAGGGUCAUAUAUAUGCAUAAACCCUAACCUAACAAUCUCGUGACUGCGGGUUUUCGUUUCGCCUCUUCUUCUCACAACAGCCGACAGCAGCUUCAGCAAUGGUGGCGAAGCACUACAGACCCGCCGUGAGUUCUUCUCAUCUCUUCAAAUCACUUUAUCCUUUCACAUAUUUUUAACUGCUUCCACUUUUUCUAUCGUUUUAUUCGUUUAUCUUUCGGUAUUUUAAUUGAUGGGUAAUGAUUUUUUCCCCUAAGGAUGUGGAGGGUUUAACGUUCAUAGCCAAUUAUCCGUGAUGUUAAUUUAUACGAAUUAGCGCAAUAAAAGAGCGUAUUGACGGACAGCGAGAAUAAAUUGAGAUUGAUGAUUAAUACCUUUUGUUCGUGUGUGAAAAUUUGGAAUUUGCAAUUUAACUAUAAGAAAUUACAAUAUUUAAAAUAAAUUCUAGCUUUUUCUUCAAAUAACGAAUCUCUGUGUCGUAUUCAGGGGAAGAAAAAGGAAGGAAAUGCCGCUAAGUUUGUCACCAGGACACAAGCACUCAAGCAGCUUCAAAUCAGUUUACCCCUUUUCAGGUAUCGUAUGCCGACAAUUCUAUUUUAUUAUGAAAAUAAUGUUGUAUGAUGUGAAUAUUUGAUUCUGAUAUUAGGGUUUAUAAAUUUUAGGAAACUGUGCAUUUUGAAAGGUGUAACUCCGAGGGAACCAAAGAAAAAGUUCAAGGGAAAUGAUAAGACUUACUACCAUGUCAAAGAUAUUAGCUUUUUACAUCAUGAGCCUUUGGUUGAAAUACAUAGAGCAAUAAGAGUGCAUGAGAGAAAAAUUAAGAAAGCCGAGGCAAAGAAAAACGUUGAACGUGCAAAUAGGCUACGUGAGAAAACACCCAAACCCAAGAUAGAUAGGAUAAUCCGCCAGAGGUACCCAAGAUUUGUUGAUGCACUUGGAGAAUUGGAUGACUGUCUUACAAUGGUACAUCUUUUUGCUGCAGUACCUGCCACUGAAAGCAAAAAAAUUGAUGUGGAGCUUGUCCACAAAUGUCGAAGGUAUAUAUACUUGGAAUUAUAAUCACUUUAGAUUAAUAUGUCAUGAAGAAUUUAGGUCUUUGUGCCUUAAUCUUUACUUUGAAAAUAAGGUCUAGGAGAGUAUAAUAUAAUUUAUAUUAGUAUCAACAUCUAAUUGGCAUUUUCAUGCAUUUUUUUUUAAAGUGCAACCUAUUAUGCUGCACUGCAAUAAUACUUAUCAUAUUUAUUAUUGUCUGCCUAUGUUCUAGAUUGGCGCAUGAAUGGCAAGCAUUUGUAUCUCGUACUCACAAGUUAAGAAAAACAUUUGUAUCUGUUAAAGGCAUAUACUACCAGGUACCGUUUGUAGCCAUCGAUCAUGUUCAUUGUUAAUCAUAAUUGUACAUUUUAUAAAUAUUUAUUAUGUUGUUUGUGCAGGCUGAAGUUGAGGGUCAGAAAAUAACAUGGUUAACUCCUCAUUCACUGCAGCAGGUUGUGUCUGAGGAUGUUGACAUCCCUACUAUGCUAAACUUUCUGCAACUCUAUGAGGUCAGUUUAAUUACAUAUUUAAAUUAAGUAUGUUCAUUUUUUUGACAACUUGUCAAUAUGCAUAUCCGAAGUAAUAGGAUCAUAGAUCUAAAUAUAUUUUAAUCAUGUAUACAUUUAAUUUGAAUAAGUUCUGUUAGGAUCGUUAUGUCAUUCAUGUAUAAACCAAAUUUAGUUAUUCAAUUACAACUGACAUCCAUAUACUAAUUUCUUAAAUAUCUAUAAUGAAUUGAUGCAGCCUCUUCUUUGUUUUGUCAAUUUUCACCUCUAUCAUUCCAUUAAUUUGAAGUAUCCUCCCAUGCUUGAUCCUCGCUUGGAGGCCUUGGCAGCAGGUACUGUUUGAUUAACUUAUAUCAAACUUUAUAAACAUGAAUUGCUGCAAAGCUUGGAAUUAUCUCCUGAUCACUUUUCUUAUAAAAUUUUGUAGAUAUAUAUGCAUUGUCAAGAUAUUUAAAUGGCAACACCCGACCUGCUAUACUGAAUUCUGAAACCUCCCAAUUAGUUGAAUCUGAGCAACUGGAGUCCAAGCAAGAUGGGGCACAGACCCAAAAUGAAAAAUCUGAACUAAGACUUGCUCAACUUCAACAUCAACUUCCUUCUAAUGAACCAGGUGCACUAAUGCAGCUAGUUGAAAAAGUUGCAGGCGAAGGUGAAGAGGAAUAUGAUCAAGAGACACGAGAAUGCAAAAAUCUCUUUCGAAAUGUCAAAAUCUUCUUGAGCAGAGAGGUAUGACUUUAUAGUAUUUGCUGAGUUAGAGUUUGUGUAAAAUUUUCAAUAUAAAAUGUAAGAAAUUGUGAAGAGUUCAUAUAUGGACUGGUGAUAUUAUAAACGGGCAACAUUUCUCAAAGAUUCAUACUUAGAAGUACUAGAAACAUACAUAAAAAUCACUUCUCAAUGAGACACUUGAGUACUUUUCAUAUUAAAAUUGUGUGUGUAUGUGUGCUGUUUAAACUUGCAUUUAUUUUGGAAUUAUUCUAAUGAUUGCAUCUGUUUUGGUUUAAUUAUUCAGGCACCAAGGGAAUCAUUGCUUUUUGUUAUUCCUGCUUUUGGUGGUACAGUUUCAUGGGAGGGAGAAGGGGCUCCCUUUGCAGAAUCUGACCAGAGCAUUACUCAUCAGGUUUGUGUGAUUUAUAUGACAUAACUUUAUUGAACUUCCUUCAAUGUUUGCUUAACUAUUGCUUUCAUUUCUUCAGAUCGUUGAUAGGGAAUCUCAAGGACACAGAUUCCUCUCAAGAGAAUAUGUUCAACCACAAUGGGUAUUUGACUGUGUGAAUGCACGGAUAAUUUUGCCAACAGACAAUUAUUUUGUGGGAAGGUAACUUCUAAUUCAUUUGUGUUGGUGUACCGACUUCUGUACAUAUAUUCUAUAUACGCCUGUAUUUCCGUAUGUGAUGCCUCUUUUAUCAUUAGGAUUCCUCCACCGCACUUGUCGCCUUUCGUUGACUAUGACGAAGGAGCAUAUGUUCCGGAGUAUGCAAAGACCCUUAAACACUUGCAAGCUGCUGCCAGAAAGGAAGUCCUUCCACUUCCAGGUGCUGAAAAAGAUCUGGAAGAUCCUCAAAAUCUUCUGGCUGAGGGUAUUAUUGAUCGUGCAGCUGCAAAUGAAGCGGCUGAGAAAAAGCAGAAGGUAUUAAGAAGAACGGUGCAUCAGGAUUGUUAAAUGAGUGGAGUGUAUCAUUCUAUUGAUAUGUAUAGUAAUUCCUUUUCAAUGGCUGUUUUGCAGCUGAUGAAGCAGGAGCAGCGAUUCCGUGAGGAGUUGAAGAAAGAACUAAAGGGUGAAACAUACACUUCAGCAGGGUCUGCUGUUGAAAAAGAAACAUCUACCGCAGUCAUUGAGACUGGUGAAUCAACUAAUAAUGUUCAAGCUAAUACUGAUGAUGGUGCUGAGAUGGGUAAACUUUUGUUGUCACGCAGAAAGAGGAAGCUACUCGAAGCUAUGCAGGUAGACUUUUUUAUGAAAUUCUUAGUCAUAUUAGUUAUAUUGCUUUUGUAUUUUGUUUUAUGAAUUCUGAAGUUGCGAUUUUACCAAUUACUAUUCUAUUUAUUAUUUAAUCCAUAGUGGUUGCCAAGUGGCAGGUCUGUCUGGUAGUUAUUAUAUCUGAGAUAAUGUAGUAUUUUUCUGUUGGUUUUGAUGUUCAUAAUUUUGUUCUGAUAUUCAUAAUUUUUGUUGUUGAAAUCUGUCAUUCAGAUAUCUAAUGAGCGCAAGAAAAAUAAACAUGAUACUAUCAUCAAACGGAAAAAGAAACUAGAUGAAGCUCAGAAUCAAAGGAGUUGAAGGAUUCUGCAUUCUCAAGGGUUCCAGUUAUAUGCCAUAUCAUUCUGUGUUAUAGGAGUUAGCUGAUUUGAAAAACUAGUUUUCUUUUAUUGUUGGUUGCAACUAUAACUUGUUUUUAGUCUUUGUUCUUUCAGUUUUGUAACGGAUGAGUAAGGACCAAAGAAAUUUUUGAUUUUAUUUUACAGUUCUCAGGUUUUUGAUACAUCUGGAGAAGGGAAAAAUUGCCACACACCUGAAGGGGUAGUGGACAAACUCUGCAGAAACGUUGUACUGACUUAUUAUCCUUGUUAAAACGACCUUGUCCUUUCCUUAUAUAUAGGAUACCGUUUUUAGAUUUGAUUUAAUUUGCAUCUAUUCUCAUGUUUAUAACUGUAGACUACGGUAUAUUAUCAUCGAUCGAUCAUAUCCAUAAGUGCACUUCUAUAAUUCUCGAAAAUCAUUUUAUUAUAGAUUACAUUUUUUUUUUUACAAAAGUUAUAUAUCUAUGUUUUUUUGUUUAAUUUUGAAGACAAAAAAGCAAUUAAUACAAGAAAAGGGGCAGUUUAUUUGCAGUAUCUUAUAGCGCAAUCACUUAUCAUGAUUAGAGCUUAUGUGCAAGCUUUCAUAAAUAAGCUUUUUUUAUAGCAAAUAUGCUCAACACAGCGCAGGAACUCACUUUAUGCCGUUAAAAAUACUAGUGUCUCAUCUUCCUGGUUGGUUGCAAGGACCUCAAAUCACAUAAACUAUUCAUUAUGAUUUAAAUAGUUCUAUUAUUCUCUCUCUUUCUAAUCCAUCGUAAUUAGGAUAUCCCUACGUGCUUAAGUCAGUUAGCUCUGCAACGACACUAACUCUCAAGUCGAUCGUUGGACAUUCAACUACUUAGGCAUGAAAUUGAUUUGCUUCUCAAAUAACAACAGACUUCAAAAAUCGAACAAGAAUUGUUUUCUCUAGUCUCCCUUGUUGUCCUCUAACUUGCUUAAUUCUUUAAUAAUAACCGUUGUAUGCAAAAUAUCAUGUAUCAAUUUAUUUUUUGAUAAACUAAGAUAUCAUCAAAUACAAUUGCAGAGACGAAUCUCUCAAUUCUAUUUAAGAGGUUGAUAUCUUACAGCAUAUGUUUUCAUAUGUUUUCAUACUAUUGACUGGAAAAAUAUCCUUUCAACAAAUAAACUCGACGAUCAAUCUAUUACUCAAGUUAGAUUAUUAAAGGUUUCUUAGUUGAUGAUAUGUUUAAUGCCUUGAGUGUUUGUUUGUUGUGUAAGAAAUAAGUAAUGGUGGAUAAUCGCUGUAAAAAAUGUUAAGAAGAAAGAACAUACAAAUGUAAAAGUGCAAAAAAGUAAAGACAAAAGUAAAAGAGAAAAUUGUAUUACUAUAAAGAUAAAUGAGCUAAAUACAUGGUUUGAAUCAAACAACUAAUAAAUUGUUUUAUCUUAUGUUGGCAAAUGAGUGAUAUAAUAUGUUAACUAUAGAGAACGAAAAUGAAUUUCUUUGCAUGGAGAACGAAUCUACUACUUAUAGAAGAAAGAAGAAACCAACUCAGUUCCAAAAAGUUCCCAAGAUUCCCAAAGACGAAGGCUGGGAAGGGAACGGAUGUGUGAUCUAAUGAGUGAACAUUUGAGGAAUAGCCUAUAUGUUAAUUUCAAAAGAAAUUUGAACUUGACAUUUUAAUUUAAACCAAUGCAUGAUUGAAGUGUUUCGACAAGGAAAUAUCCGUUACUAACAUUUCAAGACCUGAAAAACGGGAGAGCAUAUUGUGCAUGUCUCUCUAGUUAAUGUCUUCUAUGAACUACAACCUAUUUAUUCAAAACAAUCACUCACAAUCACGUGAUGUUUCAGACAACCAAUAUGAUACAUUCUUUCUAUUAAUCGGUAUUAUGCAGGUAUUUUAAAAGUUUUUAAAAUAAAACCCUAAAUCUCGAACCCACAAAGAAUUGCUUCAAUUACAAGUCACUCUCUUUUUAGACUAUUAAGGCGAACCAAUUUGUUUGAAGUUAAGACAGUUUUUUUUUUUAAUAAACUAAACUAGUCCAUCCAAAUUAACACGAGGAGAAUCAACCUAAGACAACACAUUCCAAAUUCUAAGCCAACACCACCGAUUAGGAUGAUUUGACGACAACUUCGCUUCAUAUAAUAUAACCUUCAACAAAUAUUCCUAAAUGGUGCCUUGAAGACCGACGUUACCCCCAUCAUAUGAUUACCACAUUAAAGAAUUAAGUACUUCUACCAAAUACCAAUAAGUUGCUAAUACCCCACUGCAUGAGUUAAAUAUUGGAAAUAAAGCAACUCAUGCUGCAUUUACCCCCAUUCAAUUCACCUAUGCCCUAUGGUUAUGCAAACAAGUACUCCAUCCGUUUCAAAAUGAGUGUUGCUUUAGCCAAUUGCACACAUAUUAAGGUAUUGAAUGAAUAAUCAUUAGAUAUAUAUAACACUUUUACUAAACUGCCCUUACUUUAUAAGAAAAUGACAAACUUAAAAUUGCAUUGAAAAUUGUGAGGAAAAGUUGAAGAGGAUAAAGUUGAAAGAAAAAAAUUAAAGUUGUAUUAAAAAUAUAAAAUGACAUUCAUUUUGAAGCAAUUUUUUUUGGCUAAAGUGACACUCAUUUUGAAACGGAGGGAGUAAAAUUUUACCUUCAAAAACAACUACUAGGAUAAGAUGAAGCCCACUAGAUUAUUAAUUUUUUUGGCAUAUUUUUUACUAUCAACAUUUUUGUUGACAGAGGGAAGCCUAGUAGAGAGACACCAUUCAUCAUACAAUUAAAAUAGAAUAUGAUAUUUGAAUAAUUUUUUUGGUACAACUUUUGGGACAAUUUUGUUGUGUUCUCCUCUUCUCAUUAGUCAUAAGAAGAUAAUGUGAAUAUGAGAAAGAAAAUUAUACAAAAGUUGUACAAAAAUAGUUGUACAAAUAUCAUUUCUCAUUAAGAUAAUAGCAAACCAAAUAAAAUGCCUUCCUCUAAAAAAGAAAGAUAAAAUGCUAAGUUAGUCUGGUUACAAAGACCUUAGUUCGAACCUCGCUGUUACGGUUAUUUUAUUAGCGGUUGAUAUGUAAAUACAUUUUUAGUGGUGGAAGUUGUUCAAAAUAUUAGAGGGACAAGCACUAACUAAAAUAUUACCCCAUUCUGAUCCAAUUAUAAGUGAAAUUAUCUCAUCUUAAACUUAUAAAGAAUGAUAGUUAGGUGCAUUUAUUUUGUUAUAUUGUUUUCAUGAAGGGAAAAAAGAAAGAAAUGUAUCUACUAAACUUUUCCCCAUUAUCAGUCGUCUUUUCACAAUAUUAAGAGAGUGCUGUAAAAUGUGGGUAGAUUUUGUUUAGAAAGUGAGUUUUUCUCUCUCUUAAAAGUAGUAUAAUUAAAAUUCAUAAAAAUCACAUGUAAUUUAUUUAUCUACUACGAAAUAGUUUAGUGACAAGAACCACACAUACUAAGCGUAUAGAAGUAGAGAAUUGUAGAUUUAAACUCACGUUCAAACACAUAAAAUAUCUUUAGAACUACCAAUUGAGCUGUACUUACAAACAAGUUGUAUAUAAUUUUAUUAAAGAUUCAAAAUAACAUCCACACAAAACAAAAAAUAAAUAUAUGAAAAAAGAGAUGUAUCUAAAAUUAAAAGGUUCUACCACUAAAUACUUCUAUAAGAGCUCUAUGAAUCAUAUGACUUUCAUGGACUUUGGUGAGUCUUGAGAACGAACUCAGUUAAUUUUUUUUAUAAUUAAAAAAAAGACAAAAUCAAUAGUCUUAGAAAAGGGAAAACAAAUAUUAAUUUUUCCUUUUGUUUUUGUGGAAACGAUGGUGGAAUUGUAUCAGCCGUGAAGAACAGGAGGAUUGUUACAUUUUGAUAUCCCACGCGUCUCAAAAUAAUUGUUUUUAAGGUUUUUAUACACAAAUUAAGAAACAUAAUAAAUAAAUCAACAAAUAUACUAAUUUUACUAAACUAACCUUGCUAUUUAUUUCGUUUUUUAUUCUUUAAAAAUAACUCAUAUGGUAGUAGUUAAUUAUCGUAAAGAUUUGUCAAAGCCAAAAAAAAAUUACCGUAAAGAUCAAAGUCACUAAUCUAAUGCAGUUGAUGAAGAAAAAACCACGCUCAAGUAAAAACAUUAACUAUAAGAGUGGUAAAUAGACACUUUCAUGUUAACACAAGCUCUCCCUCUCAAAAGAAAAAUGUUAACACAAGCUCACGAUGGUUUUUUGGAAAAAGAAACAUGUGGCAGUUAUAAAAAGUUGUGAGGGUAAAGUUGGAAAAAAUAUAUUAACUACACCUUAAAAAAAGAAAUCGACUAAUAUUAUGCAACCUUUUUAUUUUGAUUAAACGACUAAUUUUGAUUUAACUUUGUUCUUUUUACGAGAAAAAGGAGUUUAACCAUCUCAAACAACAAACUAAAAACCAAUUAAAAAAAAAUCAUGAGUGAAUCACAAAUCUUCAACACACAAGGUUUUGACAAUCUAAUCUUUGAUAAACCAUUUGCAACUUAAUUUUCAUUUCCGAAUCAUGAGUGAAUUUUACAACCUAUGUUUUUUCAUAAAUUUCUUGAUAUUAUAAACAAGCUCAUAAUAAGGAGGGGAGAAGAUUUUUCAAGUAUUUUGUUUUGAAGAAAGAUUCUAUCAAGUCUUGUUUUCUUGUGUUUUCUCGAUUAGAGAGAUACUUACCGUCAAAUCUAUUUAUCUUUUUUUUAUUUUGUUUAAAUUUUCUCAUUUCGUUUUUUUCUCUCCUACCAAAUUAAUGACCUUUUUUAUUUUUUGAGAGACAACCAAAUCCAAUGACUUGAAUUGCAUAUGAUCUUAAUUAACAUGAGAUAAUUCCUUUUCCGAUAACGAAUGUCCCACUAUAAAAAAGAUGAAGACCGGCUUUCUCAUUCCUAUGUUUUCAGGAUGUUUCAUUUUUACGAUUCUGCCCUUUCUUUUAUGCUGUGGUCACUAAAACCAGACCCCUCUUUUGAUUUUUUUUAUAUCACCUUUUUAAAUGAAAAGUUCUAUUUAAGGCAUGAGAAUUCCACUUGAAUAGGAAAUUAAGAGACCACAACAAUGUCUUAUUUUAGUCUUUUAUGUGUAAUAAGGAUAAGGAUAGGAAUACAGUAAUAUGUAGGGGUGUACAUGGGUUGGGUAAACCCAAAAAACCCGUUAAAUCCACCCAAAAAAACCCAAAAAAGUGGGUUGGGUUGGAUGAUUGGGUGGAUAUGGUUUUAAAAAAUGAAAAACCCAUAAAAAAUAAUGGGUUUUGGAUAAAACCGGACCCAUACCCAAUAAACCAACUUACCCAAUAAUUUCCAAAUUUUAAUUUCAUUUUCAUAGGGAGGAAGAAGAAUAACAAAUGUUUUGAUCAUAAAUUUAGUUUAAUUUCUAAAAUUGACACAACAUAUCCUCUAUAUUGAAAAUAAAAAAAAAUAUUAGAGUUACAAAUUAUGAUGUUGCAAUUUAUAGUUACUUUGAUGCUAAAGCAAUUUUACAUCAUCCAACUUUAAUUUAUUUCAAGUAUUCGAUGAUCAAAUUUUUUAUUUAAUAUUAAAAUUUAUUAUUUUAUGAUGCUAAAAUAUAGUGAAAAUAUGUUACAUAAUUAUUUUAAGAAAAUAAAAAGUUGAAAAUUUUUUAUGAAAAAAAUACAAGGACUCGUCGUUUAGUCAUUUCAUAUUAACAAAAAAAAAAUGGGUAACCCACUACCCAACCCAAACCAAACCGAAAAUUAGUGGGUUUGCCCAAACCCACCCAUUAAUUUAACGGGUGAAUAUUUUACCAAACCCAAACCGGAGUACCCUAUAUGAUUCGGGUCUUGGGUUUGACCAAAUCCAACCCAAAUCAACCCAUUUACACCCCUAGUAAUAUGUUCACCACCGUCUUAUUGAACCCAGAGGACUACAAAUGGUCUGAAAAUGAAACCCUUAUUGUUUUGUAAAAUUAAGUUAUAAUAUCUUUUUUGAACAAAAAGCUAAGUUAUAAUCUAAAGAAAUAUAGAUGACGAAAAACGAAAAUGUAAAGACCAAUAGCUUUUACAACAUUAAUUUUUUUGUUUACAACUUUUAUAAGGUUUUUAUUUGAAAGAAACUUUUAUAAGGUUUAUGAAUCGGUAAUUUUUAUGCAGAACCACUCUUUCAUAUUACUUCAUCCGUCCCUGUAUCUAAGCACCUAUUUGAUUUUAUUUUUAAAUGUAACCCCUUUUCAAAUUACUAGAUGUAUUUAUUAUUUUUUUUCCUAAACAUAUCCCUAAUUAAUAUUCCAUCCGUUUUUUAAUAUAAGCAAAUUUUGACUUUUAGAUUCAUUCAAUCAAUGAUGUAUGUGGUUUAUAUUAUAGAUCACAUACAUCUUUGAUUGAAUGAACCUAAAAGUCAAAAUUUGCUUAUAUUAAAAAACGGAGGGAGUACACAUACAAAUAAAUGACAAUUUCGUAAUAUUAACACACAAAACAGACACAUUAAUUACACAAACAAUUUUUCUUAAAAAAUAUGAAAAAGACAAUGGGUGCUUACAUUGAAGGACGAGGUAGUAUAAAAUUUAGUAACCAGAAGAAAUUCACAGUUAAUUACAAUUUUAUGGUGAGUAAGUAAUAUCGAAGUGGACCAACCAAUUAGCAUAAAAACAAACCAAAAUGGUUUAGGGCACUUUAUUAUAGACAAUGAUAAGUUUAAAGUAUCAAACUUUUCAACUUUUAUAUGUCGGAGGAUUGCAUUAGAAAGAUCUAAAACUGUUGUGACUAAAACUCUAAAAGGAAUAUAUAGUCAUGCUCUUCAUUAAGUCUUUAAAAUGCCAUUGGCUGAAUAAAAGUGUUUUCUAUACACUAGUAAUAUAUAAUGGGUCAUGCUAUCUUAUGUCUAUAAAACACAUGUUAAGCAUUAAUGUUAUUCCAUUAAUAGUAAGAAUUUAUUGAAAAAAUUAAUAUUAAAUAUUUUGAGCAAUAAAUUAAGACAAUUUCCAAUACAUGAUUUAUAAUAGUAGAAUUUUUAACAUAUGCUCUAAGGAUACAAGUUAACAUUUCCCAUAUAUAUAUUUAAGGAUGGAACCGAAGAGCGCUUAGAUGUGACGACAUGAGUUUCUUUUAGCUUAAUCAAGGUCAUGGGUUCAAAUCCAGUCUUGGGCAUGCAACAACGUUAAAACUCUUAGGAAGAGUUUGUCACCUAUUUAGAUUUCACAAGACUCGAAAGAUUCCUCUGCGCAAUGCAGUUGCGCGUGUAUGGACGAUAUUCGGUUAAGAAAAUAUAUUUAAUGAUAGAUCCAUAAACUCUGAUUAAUAGGGGACAAAAUCAUAUACUAUAAUUAUUUAUAUAAAAAACUUACAAAUGUAUACUAGUGAUAAAUUAAUGAUAUAAUUAUUACUUUAUUUGUUUCAAAUUAUAAAUUAAUUUGAUCGGUUCAUAUGAAUUAAAAAAUUUAGUUAAUUUUAUAUAGAAAAGAGAAUUAUGAGUUAUUUUAUAAAAUUAAUAACAUUUCUCAACAUCUCUUAACAAAAUAAAAGACUAAGUGGGGUAGGUAUUACAAGAGAUUCUUGAUAACUUUAUUUUUCUCUCCAAUGAUUUGCAAAAAAUAAUAGAGAGAGAAAAAGGAAGAUAUAUAAUAAAAACAUAAUGUAAAUAUGAGAGAGAAAAUUGUCAAAAAAUUGUUAGAAAGUGGUUGUACAAAUAUUAUUUCUCGUACUACAAAUGGUCUCAUGGCCUUAAUGUUAGUUUGGUAAAGGUAAGUUAACAUGUAAAGAUAUAGGGUGUGUUUGUUUCAAGUUUACCAAAUUUAUUCCUAGGAAUAUAAAGAUGAGAAUUUUAUUCCAAGGAAUUUAGGAAAAAUAUGUUUGGUUAGCUUUAUAAUAUUCCUAGGAACCAUAAAAAUAGGGAUUAUAAUAGAUAAACUAUUUAUGAAUUUAUUCCCAUCUCCAUGAGAACUUUAUUCCCACCCUUUUUCUUGGGAAAUUUUUUCUAUUCCCAGGAACAUUUUAUACCCCGGAAUAAAAUUUAGUAAACUUGUAACAAACAUAGGCAUAUACAUUCCUAUCAUUUUAUUCCCGCGAAUCAACAAUUAUAACUUGAAACAAACACACCCAUAGAGUCUUUAAAAAAAAAUGUAAAGAUAUAAAGGACAAAAUAUGAAUCUGUAAUUUAUAACAUUUGUUAAAAAAAAAAAAAAACUUUUAUAACAUUUAUGAAUCUGUAAUUUUUAUACAGAACCACACUUUUUAUUCUAAAAUUUGUAUUAAUAAUAACUAUAAAUUCAUAAAAAAUGAUAUGUAUGUAAUAUUAAUAUUGGUGUUAUGUAAUAUAAAUUCUUAAAGUAAUAUCGAAGAAUUGUUUUUGAACGUGUCCCAUUUUUAUUGGUGUUGGUAAGCUACCCAUUUUUUUUCUCCAAAUAAUUUAGUGGUUAGAAUUCAUAUUUUUAAAGAUAAAUAAGUGAGGUGUGUCCGAAGUUCGAAUCUCAGCCCCUGCAUAUAAUAAUACAUGUCCCUACCAAUUGAGAUAGGCUGAUGAUGACAGCUACCCAAAAUUCUUUUUUUUUUUAGCUACCCAAAAUUCUUUAAAGCAACCUAAAAAAUUCCAAACAAUUUGCAUGGAGAGAUAUCAGUGUAUCACACGCACCAAUUAAAAGACAGAUAUCCCAGCAUAUAUAGUGCUUCGAAUCUUUUGAUAUUGUUUGAAAUUUGUUGGCCACAUUGAAGAGGAAGUCGAACAUCUCAUGUAUUACACGUCAGAACCCAUCAAUCACCCAACAUUGAUAAUCCUUUGGAUUUUUAUAUUAAAGAAUAAUCUUUGAAUCUUAAAACCAAAAAUCUAAACCUGGAGAAUACUGUUUAGAAUUGGUUUAGUGUAUAUCAAGUCUGUUUUCCCAUGCUGUUUUCUUUGUUCAAAAUGAUGUUCAUCACAUAAAACUCACAUACACAAAUGUUAUGUCUUAUGUUCAAACUCGUAACGAAGAUGUUCAACUUAACAAGUUGCAAUCAUUUGCGUCUAAUCUUUUCCCUAUUUUUUGUUGUUUAAAAAGAGGUUAAUGUUUGAUCUUGAAAAUCAUUAGAAAAGACACCACAAUAUCAAAAUUCUAAUUGAAAAGGACCAAAGAUAUAUAUGCUUUCUAAAGUAAUAGUUCUAGAUAUUAAAUUAGUGUUGGAUUGGAUGUUUUAUUUUUUCACAAGCAAAAACGAUUUAUCAAUAUUCAUUUAUGCUAAUUCUCCUGCACUGAACCUUUAUUAUAUUAUUUCUAUGAAUAUUAUUUAUUUCUGCCAUGCAUGCAGGGAACAAAUUAAUGUUGAACCGGACCCGCAUUGAGUAAGACUCCAUUGCUUGAAUUCGGUGGCCAUGGUGUACUGUCUUAGCUUCUUCUUGUAAAAAUGACCUUAUCCUUUUAAUGUAUGUAUAGGUUAGCCUUUUGAGUAUCAUGUUUUUUCGUAUAAACUAUAAGGUGUCCCCAAUUACAACUCCGUAGACUAAUAACAGAAACAAAGUAUUAUUUCUACACAAUAAUAAGGGGGGGACGUAUACGCACUUAAAUCUAAAACGUGCUUAGAAUGAGCACAGAAAAGAUACCAAGUAUGGAGGUGGAAUACCCAAUUGCUGUCUUAGUGGCUGCACAAAUGAAAAGCACAACGAAACAAAGCGCUUAAAAAGGUUCAGAGUCACUAGCUACGAAGUGGACCUAACCUAAGUGCUUAACACACUUUAAUAUUUGAUUAUUGACCUUGGACCAAACCUUUUAACGUAUUAAUAAUGUAGAAAGCAAAACUAAUAACUAGGGAGAUAUGAUUAUUAUGCUUGUGCUUGUUCUAAUCAUCUUUCAUAUGUCACCUUCGACUAUUGACUCAGUAGAUUGAAUUCAAUAAUUCACCUAAAUAAUUCAAAACCCUUUUUAUCCUCAGAAAAUUUAAAGAAAUAAUACCCUCAACUCAAAAGGAUAUUUGCUAUUCUAUUAUGUUGAUUUUAUACAAGUUGAUAUUGUCACAUGAAUCAUGAUGAAUAGCUCAAUCAUGAAAUUGCACUACAUUUGAAAUCAUAUAUUGGAGCAUUGCUUUUUAUCAUCUUUGAUGAGAAAGAAUUACUAGAGACAACUUUUCCAAUAUAAAAUCUUCACAUGUAUACGCAUAAAUUUGUCAAAUAAUAAAAAUAAGAAAACAAGUGAACAUAAUGAUAAAAGCUAUUCCAUGAUGAGUAACAUUCAACUAUAAGCAAAAGAUACUAAUAAUUGAAAGUGUGACACUGACAUUUUAAUUUUUUUUGAGGACGGUAUCUAUUGAUUUAUGUGACAUCCCACUUGGUUACGUGAAGUACUAGAGCUAGCUACUCUAUGUAUAGAUAUAGUAUAAUGCUGUUUUUUUCCCUGUGCAUUAACAUAAUAUAUAAACACAAGGCUUCAUCGUGCUAUUUCAUUCUUGUGGCACAAGAAAGUGGCUAAGUAAUUUUGGGCUGAAAAAUAAUAUGGCAUUUUGUAACCAAAAAAGUUUCCAAAAUUGGAAACCAUUCAUAGCAGUAGUGCUCUUGCAAUUUGGAUAUGCUGGUAUGGAUAUUCUGUCCAAGUCUGCACUGAACAAAGGAAUGAGCUGUUAUGUACUAGUCGUUUAUCGCCACGCCGUUGCCUUCGUUGUCAUCGUUCCUUUUGCAGUGAUCUUAGAAAAGUAUUGUUUACUUUCUUCCACUUGUUUGUAUAUACAUGAAUUUGAAUUGAAGUAAUUGAUAUGCUACAUUUUUUUUUAACAGGAAAGUAAGACCAAAGAUGACAUUGUCAAUCUUUUUGAAGCUAGUGGCUCUCAGUGUGCUAGAGUAAUUCUCUGCAUGGUUAAACAUAUUCUUCAAUUCCAUGGAAAAACUUACCUUGAUUUUGAUAGUAUUUAAUUUCUUAUUGCAGGCCUGUUAUUGAUCAAAAUUUAUAUUUUUUGGGAAUGAAGUAUACAACAGCUACUUUUGCAGUUGCCAUGUUCAAUGUCCUUCCUGCUAUUACCUUUGUCGUGGCUUGGAUUCUCAAGUAACAUUUCCACUUCCACUUAAUUGAUCAGAUUUUUAUAUGCAAAUAUUAGUUGUUAUGUUAGUAUGUUAGGUUAGUAGUCACGAUUUGAACCCUGAAUCUCUUUCUCAAAACUCUUUCGGGCGUUCUAGCUCAACCACUUGAGCUACGGCGGCUGCUACACUUUGAAAACUGUUAAUAAAAUUAAAUAUACACAUAGCAGUCCUUGUUGUCUAAAAAUGAGUUAGAGACAAAAGAAUAUAAUGUCUAUAAUUUUAACAUAUCUAAUCCUUGAUUUUUAGCAGUGAGAAAUAUUUGCUAUUUUUUAGUACAUUUAGUUAUUUAACUAAUUGCUUAUUGUGUCCAGAAUGGAGAAGAUAAAAAUGAGAAGUGUACAUAGUCAAGCAAAGAUUGUUGGGACAAUAGCCACUGUUGCAGGUGCCAUGGUUAUGACAUUAAUAAAAGGCCCAAUACUUAAUUUAUUUGGAAUACAUGAAAGCAGUGCUCAAAUCCAACAUAAUGGUGGGGUAAAUCUACAACAUGCAGUAAAGGGAUCAAUUAUGAUCACAAUUGGCUGUUUUAGUUGUGCUUGUUUCACAAUUCUCCAAGUGAGUUUUUAACUAUAUAAACUAAUAUAAUGACAUUUUCUUUCUUUCUUUCUUUCAUUCUUUAAAUUUUGUGUAUUCUUAUUCCUUAAUACAGUUUAAUCUGUUAAUUAAUUUAUGUAGGCUGUUACACUUGAAACCUAUCCAGCUGAGCUAUCACUUACAGCAUGGAUAUGUCUAUUGGGAACAGUUGAAGGUGGCAUAGUAGCUUUGAUUAUGGAAAGGGGUGAACCUUCUGUUUGGUCUUUGAGUUGGGAUACAAAACUCUUGGCUGCAGUUUAUAGUGUAAGUUUUUGUAAACAUAAUCACCACCUUUUGAUCAAUGAUAAUAAAAAUACAAGCACAUUCAUUUGGCACUAAUAAAAAAGGACACACCACCUCCAUUUUUAAAAUAUAGUAAGACACAACCACAUAUUCUGUUUUUGUGUAUUGUGACGAGGGAGGGGGUGUCAAUUAUGAUUUUUUUAAUUUUUUUUAAUAUAAUAAAGAGAUGUCAAUUUUGAUCGACCCAAUUUUAUGUCCAAUGGGCCAUAAUUUAGGUUGAGUUUAAGUACUUAAGUACAUGUCUGAAAACAACUGAUUUAAUGCAUUUUUUCUUUGAAAAAUUUGAAUACUUUACUCAUUAAAAAUGGAAAUUUGGCAUAUCCCAAUGUGUUUUAAGCAGAGCUACCAAAUUUUAGGCCUAACGAACCUAUGCUAUGGGCUGGUGGUCAUUGGAAUAUCCCAAUGUUAAUCAUUGAAUUAAUUCAACAAAUGAGAGAUACUACUACUAGAUUUCAUUUGUUGGAUUAAUCCACACAACCAAUAUCUAAAGCUAUCUAUCUUUGUCAAAAGUUACUAAUAAACAAACUGAAAAUGUUUAUUGAGCUGUUCUGUCUUGUGUCAAACUUCACAAGUGUGAGCUGAGUGUCCAAUCUAUUCCAAUAUGCCUUACCACAAACAAGUCCAGAAUCAAUGAAACAAUCUUUUAACAAGACACUUGACCAUAACUGUCCAAAAUGACUCAUAUAUAUGACUCUCAGUGUCGGAAAUGCUUCCAACACUUGGACAAAACCUCAUGGAAACAUUUAUAAGGUUUCAGGUUUAUAAUAGAAAACGUAUUAAUAGACUGCUUGAACAACAUUGCCAUUAAUAAAUCAUACAGUAACUGCUACAUAUAAUAACUUUUAUCUUUAAAUAUUCACAUGCAGGGUAUAGUUUGUUCAGGAAUGGCCUAUUACAUCCAAGGAGUGGUGAUGAGAUACAGAGGUCCAGUAUUUGUAACAACUUUCAAUCCCCUUUGCAUGGUCAUCGUCGCUAUCAUGAGCCCCUUCAUUUUGGCCGAGAAAAUUUACCUUGGAAGGUAAUUCAUUAUUAGUGAUUGAUUGACAGUAAAAAGUUUUUAUUGACCGACUGUGUAUAUAAAUUAAAUUCCUUCCGAUUAAUUUUUCAGGGUGAUCGGUGCCGUUGUGAUUAUUUUAGGACUAUAUUUAGUGGUAUGGGGUAAAAGCAAAGAUUAUGACAGACCAAGUCCAAUUAUUAAAGAUGAAAUAUUACCAGCUAAGCAAACUAUAGAGAACAACGACAAAGAGAAAUUUCAUAGCCAUGAGGUCAUCACUAGCAGCAACUUUGGUGCAAUAGCUCGAGAUGAACAAGUGUGAGGAAAUUAAUACUUCCCACUUUGAUUCAAUCAAUAGUCCAAAUGGCUCCAUUUAACAUCAACAACAAUUAUAUAUAGGUCUUUGUUUUUGGUUGUUUAAUCUUUUGAUUAUGAAUAUAAUAGUAGACAACAAAAACACCAUUUAAAAUACGUACUAAUGAUUUCAAAGGUUGGAGAUACAUAUAUUCCAACCAACUCCCAUAUUACUAUAUUAUUAUGAGUUAACUUUAUGACACCAUCGAAUUCACUUGUUGUAUCCAAUAUAAAAUUUAGUUUUCAAUUCAACCUAACAAAAAUAGUAAAUGACCUCAAAUAAUAAUAGUACUAGAAAACAAGUUCGGAUAGAAUUUCCUACCUAAUAGGGAACAUGAUUAAGUACCCCUCAUAUAUAGAUUAGUAGAUUAAUUCAAAUAGAGAUCUACAACUAAAAAUGAAAGAAUAACUUGUUGAAUAUUAUUUUGGCCUCCUCAUUCUAUACACAUUGUUUGUUACGCAAAUCCAACUAAAUAAUAUUUAAAUGCAACAGAAUACUAACUAAAUUAGUGACUCAGCAUAGAAGCACAAAUAUAAAAAAAAUGGUGUACUGAUACACCAAUAGCCAAUUGUCCUAGUGAUAUGGCAUUUCAUCUCAACUGCUGCCACAUCAUUUUCAAGAUGUCUUGUCUUGCACAAUUGUUGCAUUUAACAGUAAUAUUAUUCAUUCACCAUUCUAUAUCAUCUGUGAAUUUUUUUUUUCUGCCCUAGUUUAUGCCAAAAAAUACAAAAAUGUCCUACUUUUUCGAAAAAUUGCAUAAAUAUCCUAUUUUUUUAGUGUCUCAGGUACCACUUCACUUGGAGUUGCGGGGUACCCUAAAAAGUGACAAAAUUUUUGUCCUUAUUGUACCCCUCUACUUGGAGUUGCGAGGUACUUUACUAUUUUUUUUUAAUUUUUUUCCUACCCCACAAGUGUGACUUGCGUUUUAUACUUUGGUUUUUUUUUUAAAUUUUUUUUUUAAAUACCCCUCUACUUGGAGUAGAGUGGUAUAAUAAAGACAAAAAAAAAAAUCAACAUGUAAUAAUAACUUAAUAAUAAAAAACUAAUUAAAAUAUUAUAUAACAAAUAAAAUACCAUAAAAUCUACAAUUAUUUGCAGGAAUGACCAGACAUCCUACAAACGAAAUAAAGAUUAGAUUUCUACUGAUGUCUAAUAUUAAUGCAAUCUCUGCGGGAAUGACCAGACAUCCUACAAACGCCGCAUCUUCUCUCAGUUUCCACAUCGUCCAUCUCGGUCCUAAUGCGAGUAAUUGGUGGACGACCUUUAUUUGCCCUACGCAUGGACUUGUUGGGAACCACCUUCAGUCCUUCAUAAUUAGGCCAAUAUGUCUGGUGGUGAACCACGUCGAAGUGGAUGUUGUAUACGGCGUAUACACACUCAUUCGUGAAUUUGUUAUCGACAAAAGUCUUGUAGUCGUGACAAAAGCUAGAACAUGCGGCAAUGACAUGUGAGCAUGGUAGGUGUAACACUCUGAAUCGUCCACAGUCACACCAUUUAUUUUGCAGGUCCACCUUGUAUUCUCCCUUUGGCAAUCCUUCUUUAUGGUCGAUGGUUUCACGGACGGAAAAGGUAUACCGAUCCCGGUCAAACUGAGCGACAUGAUGAUUGUUGGAUUUAAUCACCUCAUUCCUGAGAUAUUUCAUGCUGUUUUCUGAGAAUGGCUCACUAGAAUUUACCCUUGCCGCAUUAGGACCGAGAUGGACGAUGUGGAAACUGAGAGAAGAUGCGGCGUUUGUAGGAUGUCUGGUCAUUCCCGCAAAGAUUGCAUUAAUAUUAGACAUCAGUAGAAAUAUAGUCUUUAUUUUGUUUGUAGCAUGCCUGGUCAUUCCCGCAAAUAAUUGUAGAUUUCAUGGUAUUUUAUUUGUUAUAUAAUAUUUUAAUUAGUUUUUUAUUAUUAAGGUAUUAUUAAAUGUUGAUUUUUUUUUUUUUGUCUUUAUUAUACCACUCUACUCCAAGUAGAGGGGUAUUUAAAAAAUUGAAAAAAAAAAACAAUGUAUAAAACGCAAGUCACACUUGCGGGGUAGGAAAAAAAAUAGUAAAGUACCCCGCAACUCUAAGUAGAGGGGUACAAUAAGGACAAAAAUUGUCACUUUUUAGGGUAUCCUGCAACUCCAAGUGGAGUGGUACCUGGGACUCUGAAAAAGUAGGACAUUUGUGCAAUUUUUCGAAAAAAUGGGGCAUUUUUGUAUUUUUUUGGCAUAAACUAGGGCAUAAAAAAGAAAAAAAUCUCAUCUGUGCAUUGAUCCUGAAUGGUUUCUCUAUACUAACUGAGCUCAUUAAAAGAUGUGAUAAUUUAUAUCAAGUCUUAAGAUUUUUAUUAGAGAUGUAAUGUUUUUUGUAGCACGGAAGUCAAGAUCAUUAGCCCCCCUAUUUCCUCCGGCUCAAACUAUGAUAAUAUUGUAAUUGUGCUCAAAUACUCUUAUCCUGUUUUGGAUAGUCCCUCUCUUGUUUUUUGUAAUUACCAGCCUAGCCUUCAUCGUUCGAUUCACCAACACCAUGACUGACACUGCGAUUUGGCCUCAUUCCAACUUUGUAGCUUUGAUUUUUACGGUUGAUUCACAAACAUCUACAAGUAAAUUCCUUAAUGUUUGGAUAAAUAUAUGGUUUCAAAUUCUAUUUGUAUGAUUGAUUUAGUCUAACGUGAAGAUCCGGACCAAACACUUUUUCUCAGCACAUUCAUUUUUGACAACUAUUUUCUCAACAAAUUCAAGUUUAUAGUAUUAAACUUCCAUAUAUUGCUAAUACAAGUAAAUAACAAUACAAGUUGGAUAUAGUAGUAAUAAACAUAUAUCUAUACAAGUUGGAUAAUAAUAAUAAACAUGUCUAUUAUACUCUAUAGUAAUUAAUAAUAAUUCUUGCAGUUACUACUAUUUAAAAACAUUAAAAAUCAGCAUUUUUCACAAAACCUCAAAAUCUGCUGUGCCCUGAGGCAUAUUGACAGACAGCUAUCAAAUUACGAGAACUGUAGUGUUAAACAUGGUGAGGGAACCACAUAUUCUGUCCCUCCCUUUCCCACAUUGAUCAUCAAUCAAUCCAUUAUGACCAAAAAAAAAAAAAGAUGGAUAACGAAUUACUAUAUAUAUUAUUAUUUUUAUUCCACAUAUACUUAAAAAAUCCCUGUCUCUACUACAAGAAUCUUGAAACGGAGUCAAUGCAACUUUGUGUCCUUGUUGCCAGUAACAUGAUUUGUUCUUCAGCUUGUACUUUAGCAGCAGCACAACAAGUAGAUGGCAAUGCAGCAGAAUUUGUGAAUGGUUUUAAGGGACAAGAUCUUGAGAUGGUGGUAGAAGCAGAACGUGUGAGAUUCUUGUUUGUCAUGUCCACUUGUGCUGUGAAUAGAGAAUACACUGGUCUAUGGUCAGAGAAUUUUGACUCUCCUCUAACAUACAUUUUCUGAUUUAGUCCUUCUCCUUUCCAUAGAAUUCUAUCACACCUUCAGCAACCAAAAAAUAUUAAUUAAAAGAUAUCAAAUUUUAAUAGCUUUCGUAAUGUGAGUUGAAUCAUAAAAAUCAUACCAAGCAGGAGUGCGUCGUUUUUCCUUUGAUUUGCAAGUUUGAGCAACAUAUUGGUCAGAAUUCAUCAAGUAUUUGUAAGUAGGAGCAAAGUAUAUGCUCCCUUCAUUCCAACCUUCAAAUAUUCGUCCAGCAUUCUGCUCCAUCCUUAGUUGAUCUUUCUCUAGUAACGCCUUCAAGUUAUUGUUUUUUAGUAGCUCAUGAAUUUCAUCGUAACCAGCGGCAAGUCUAUAAUUCAAAUCCCCCAACCAAAUAAUGUUACUGCACAUAUACCAAAUUAAUUAAGAGUGUGUAGAUAUUAAAUAAUUAGAAAUUUGGAAUCAUUAUUCAUAGGACUUACUCAUGUUCUAGUAUACCAAGUGAGUGAGAAAAUUUAGUUCUCUUGAUGAUUUCCGCGAUGUCCAAGUUUCGACGCAACUCGUCACCACAUUUCUCUCCAGAGGCCAAGUGAGUGCAAACGAAGCAGAAUGUGGUUUGGUACAAUCUCAUGCUAAUAGAUAUCGAACCCUGUUAGCAUAAACCACAAAUUUACAAAAAUGUAAGCAAUGAAUCAUAAUCAUACCACUGUAGCCAGUACAUAGUCCUACUUCAUCUUGAAAUGUCACAUUUCCAUAGCAAAAUCUGAAGCAAUAGCUAAUUAAUUAGAACCAUUUUAUAGCCCCCCUCAUAUAUAAUUGUACAUAACACGCGCAUAUUGAACCACAUAUAUGACAUCAACGUGUAAUUUCUUUUAUACUAUCAAUCAAUCAUAAUCGUCAGAUCAUUUGACUUUUAACGAACCUUAUUUCCAAGGUAGCCCAUGAUGCCGGUACCAACGCGAGACACUUUUAAAUUGCCAACGUGGUUGCGAUAAUCGGCGCGUACCCACACGCACAAGAAGAUACCGACCAUUUGCUUGCUUGCUACUAGGCUAAAGCGUUUCUUUUGAUUUGGGAUUUCAUUGUUUGAGGUGUUUAGAGCUUGAUGAAUAAGGGCUAGCCACUUUGCUGCGGGGCCACUGUUCUCCGACCCAAGCACGUUCCCAGCAUUUAGUGGUACAAUUUCUUGGAACCUAAGAGAUCAAAAACAAGCCAAUACAACAAAAAUUAGAUUUACCUUUUUUUUUUUUAAUCUCCAAAAUCAAAAAGUACUCUAAUUUGGAUAAGUUGAAUCAUACAAAAAUAAGAAGUUGGUAACAGUUUAGUUUUACUAUUGAUAAACUUUACAUAAACAUCAAAUCAUAUUUUAUGAUCUUAUUCUUAUUACAUAAUAAUAUUAUACCGAUUAAAACAUGUUUAUGUGUACACAAAAAUCAUAAUUUUUUUGGCAUAUGCCAAACAACCUUUCAACAUCUUAAUGCUCUUAUUUAGGUCAUAAACUUGCACUAUUAAACUCGGAAUAAAAAUCAUAUCUAUAUGAUCAAACACAUAUGUUAGUAUAAUAUUAUGCGGUGCACUAUAUGCGGCACUUAUUUUAAAACGGAUGAAGAAAUUUAAAUACUCUAAAAUUGCAUAAAAUACUUGCACAAAAAAAAAAAAAAAACGAUAAUUAAAUAAUCAUUAAAUGAAGGUGCAAGAUCUAAAUACACCUAUUUAUAUUCAAAUGGUGGCUGUAAGAGUAUAGCCGUCGUAGAUAAUCCAUAAUCAUCAAGACAGAUGUUUUGAGUAAACUUGAACUCCUAAGAAUAUUUAAAGAGAUUUAAUUGAUGCAUAUAUAAAAGGUAAUAGGUGGAUUGAGUGGAAAUGAAAAAUAAAUAAAAUACUACAGACAAAGUAGUAGAUAGCCAAAUAGGGAACAUAGAUGAUAAGAUUAAGUAAAAAGAAAUAGUUAAAAUAAAAAAAUACCCAAUAACAUAUAUGUCAGCUGGCGAAGUAGAUAUCAGCCAAUUUUUCAAGUCCAAAUUUUCAUUUGGUGACUUUCCCCCAACAUUCCACGUCCCCACAAACAUCCUACACAAGAGUUAAUUCAAUUUUUUUAGAAGUCAAUAAUAAUAAUACUUCAGAAAUGUUUUGCUAAAAUAAGCUAGGCACAUAUUAUUAACUUAAAAUUUUAGGUUAGCCACAUGUUACUUCAAAAAAUAGGUAUGAUGGGAGCAUUUACCUAAGGUUGAGAGGAUUAGUGAUGGUAGAAGGUUUUAUCUCUCCAUGCACCGAACGUUUCACGCCAUUUGUAGAAUGCUUCAACCACCCUUCUUUGAAAACAAGGACCAAAUAUUAUUAAUUAGUCAGACAUCAACCCGAACCAAAAAAAUACAUUAACUUCAAAAAUAUAGUAAGUGCUGGUAUUAAACAAAAAAACAUAGGUUUUGGAAAAUUUUAAGCUAAAAACAUCCUAAAAACACCUAAAAAAUGCACCUAAGUCUAAUUAGUUGUAUCGAUUUAUCGAUAUCCUAGUUUUAUCUAAUUCACACAUAUAAAGUUUUUUCGUUCUAAAUUAAAGAAAUUAUGUUACUUAAGUACGAUUCUUCUGAUAACAAAUAUACAAGCUUAGCACUCUAAAAUUUGCAUGCCAAUUCUUCCAAAAAAAAAUAACCACUCCAAAACCAAAACACUAGAUCCAAGCAUAGCCGAAAUUAAGGAUUCACUAUUUAUUAAAAAAUAGAGAAUAUUUCAAAUCAUAAAACAAAGUGUUGGGCAAAUUACCAGAAAAAUUAUCUGGUACGAGGAUGUAACUAUCUUGGUCUGAGCAACUCUUUCUUGUUUCUGUCGCAGACCCUGAGUGAGUCCCACAAAGAUUAAACAAAAUAAUGUCUCAAUUUCAACACGAAAAACGUAAAAUGAAACCAAACUCAAAGAAAACCAAUCACAAUCUUAAUUAAAAUAAUUGAGUUUCACCUGUAACAGAAUAAUCUGAGGUAAACUUUUCAGAACUGUUCUUUGUACUAAGCCAAUUCUUCACGGCUAAUUUCGGCCAUGACUGCAGCAUAAAAUUAAAAAGAAAAAAAAAAGAAAAAAAAAGUUUAUGCUAUCAGUGAUAUUAUAUGAAAAAAGUGCAUUAUUAUUGGCAUAGCAAUAGAUUAAGACAGCAAGAGAAUGCGCAUACCUUAGAUUUUUUCGAUUCUAUUUUCAUUGCUCCUCCACUUUCAAGAUCGCUUAAAAACUGAUACAAACAAAUAAUAUAGCAAUUGAAUGAUCAGAAAAAUCUAUAUGGAUGUGCAAGAUGCCAACUAUUUUAAUAGCAAAUAUAUCAAAAUCUAUUAUGGAAAUCAUUAAAUUAAAUAAUUCAAUUAGAGUAAAUUUUUUAUUAAUGGAAGCAAGUUAAGAUUUUGUUAAUGUUUAAUAUCAUAAGCGAUUUUCUACGGAAAUAUAAAAGAACUAGUUGCAGGGAGAACGGGGACAGCUUUUGAGUAAAAUAAAUAAAUUCAUAUUACUAAUAUUUAAGAUAGAAUAGAUAAUAUAUAUAGAGAAAGUUCACCGUUUUGUUCAAAGUUUUGUGCUUUACAGAUAAAAAAAAACCCAUAUAUAUACUUGUAUAUAUAUAUAGGAUGAAUGAUUAGAGAGAAUCACAAAAGGGUUGAGUAUCUUUAAAACAAAUAUUGAAAAAGGUGCAACUUUUUUUAUGACUUUGCUCAUAUGCUACAAAGAAAUAUACUUACCAAUUUACCAAAGCAAAAAAAACAAUGAGAGUAGCUAUAUAAGUGAAUAAACCGCAGAUAGGAAGUUAUUAAAACGUGGGUCAAUGGCAUUGCUAUAAGAGAGUCAUGCGUGACGGUUUUUUGAGAAGCAAGAGAAAACUACUACUACUAUUAUAGUUUUUUUUGAAUGAAAAUGGAUGAGUAAAAUAUGAAGCUAUAGCACCAAAUAUAUAAGUGGAGGAAAAAAUUACUUACAAAAAUUGACCAAGAACGUGGGCGUAACGUAAGGUUUGAGUUUAAUGAGAGAAUGAUGGUGAAAAGACAAAGCUAUUUCUUAACCAAGCUUCAAUGAAUUUUUGUAAUGGAAGAAGGGAACAGAGAUGAAAGGAUAAGGGUAUAGUGUUUGAGAUUGAAAAGUGGAGAGGUUUUGAGUUCCUUGGGAAAGGAAAAAGGUUAUAUGAUUUGAGAAUAGGGGAUGGUGCACAUAACUUAAUUUUCUUUUAUAUAGGACUACGUACGUAAAACAAAUAAAUAUUAAAACAUUAAUGUAACUUUCAAAUAAGAUCUCUAAUUAUAAUAUCGAUUUUUAGAGGGGGAAAAACCACUUUAUAAGUGCUGUUCUGGCACUUUUGGGUCAAAAAAUUGUAACAUCAAAUCUUGGCCGUACACCUUUCGUGCAAGCCUAGUUGGCACUGAAUAAGUCUUUUGGUUUCGUGAAUGUAAGUAAGUAAGGGAGGAAGGGGAGGGAGAGGUUAUAACUUUUAAUAGAAGGAAGGAUGGGAAAUGUGAGAAAAAUUAAGCUAUAGGCUAUCUUAUAAUUGAUCGUUAAAAAACUCAUCUGAAUUAGCCUAGUGAUAUUGAUUUAGAAUCUGAUGGUGUGCUCUUCUUUAAGGUCCUAGGUUCGAUUAUGUCCAGUAUUAAUUUGAGUGAGUUAAUUUAACUUCUUACAAAAAAAAUGUUAAUAGAUUAAAAUUAAAGUGUUUAGUAAAAGUAAUAUUUGAAGUGAUUGAUAAAUGUAAAAUCACAUAAAAUAUAUGCAUGUUUAAUAUUUUAUAAACAAUUUUAAUUAAUAUAUUCAUCUUUAAAAAGAAUCAAUAUAUUUAUGUUAAAUGUUUUAAUUUAUUUCAAAGUACUUUUUAUCUUUAAAAUGAUAAUUGUGAUAUAUGAAUUCAAUUGAGUUUUUUUUAACAAAUCUUUUUGACGUGAUAAUCCUACUUUUUUUAUGGAACUUUUUUAAUUAACAAAUCUUUUUGACUUAAUAAUCAUACAUUUUCUCAUGGAAUUUAUUAAUUAAAAAAUCUUUUUGACUUGAUAAUCAUACAUUUUUUUAUGGAUUUUUUUUAAAUUUUAAGUGGUAAAUAUGUUUCAUUUAUAUAUGUUUCAAAAAACUUAUGAUUAAUAUAAGAUUAAGGCAAUGAGUGUCUACAUUAAGGGACGGAGGGAGUAUUUAAUUAUAAGCAGGAUAAUGGAGGGAAUUGUGGCGUGAAUCGUGAUAGUAUAGAGAUUGUGGCGUGAAUCGUGAUAGUAUAGAGAUCGACAGUUAAGAAGACCAGAAGGGUACUGUAUUAUCCGUAAGAAUGUCUUACACCAAAGUAGGGUACUAGCCUACUAGGGGUUUUCCAUGAAAGAUAUUGAAUCAUCAUGGAUAUUGUAGAGGAGACACUUUGGUUUAUGGGGUAGAAGGUGGCUUAGCUACAUAUAAGUAUCAAUCAGAGUUGGACAUGUUCAAUCCAGAAGUAUGAUGAUUUCUUUUGAAGGAUCAUGAAGAAUGAUGAUUAUGAUGGAUAUUGUAUUAUCAUGCAUUGUUGAUUAAUAGAAUAUGAUUUAUGUGUUAUGUUGGUUAUGUUGAUGUUGUUAAUGUCUAUAGUAGAGUUGUGUUAUCGGAACAACCAUUUGUAUGACAUCUUAUCGAAACAAUCAUAUGUUUGUAAAGAAAAUAAGAUAUUGACAUAAAAAUCAAAACAAUAAAGAGAAAAUAUAAAAACAUAAUGUGAGUAUGAGAGAGAAAGUUGUCCUAAAAUCGAUGUAGAAAUAUUAUUUCUCUCAAAAGUAUAUGAAUUAUUAUAUUCGGCUCAUUUACGCUAUUGACCUUGAUGCCUCACUUCAAUACGGUUUUUUCCCUGUAAUUACUUUUGCAACAUUUGUGCAGAUAGAUGAUAAGAUAUUGACAACUGAAAAAGAAAGCGAGACUAAGAAUAAAGAGUGAUCGACAUAACACAAUUACAAUUUACAUAGUUUUUUUCUCUCGCAUCGAUAAUGUAUACUAAUUAAAUUGAUUUUAAAAAGAAUAAUUUAGAAGUCAAAUGAGUUGAUAUAUAGAUAUAUCGUCUGACUUUCUGCUCAUGUUAGUAUUGAUUUGGGUAAUUUAAUUUUUUGGUUCAAGUGUAAUUUAAAUUUGAAAUUCUCUCAAUCCGCAGUGUUAGAAAUUACGCACGCACUAAUGUUCAUAAAAAAAAUAAAAAAUUACGCACUAACAUUGUAUCCAAAAAAAAUGCACGACAGAAUUGAAGGAUCAAGAAUAAAAAAGGAUAUACACAUAUUUAACAUGAAAGAAAAAAAGUUUUAAGAAAGAAAAAAAAAACCAUGGCUAGAGGAGAAGCUAAUUCACUGUAACUAAAAAUAUUUUCAAGAGAAAAAGUAGAGUUUGUAUUGUAAAAUUAGUGAUGAUCUCACUCACACCUAGCUACGUGAAUUUCCUAAGAUUUGGGUUCAACACGUGCCAAGUUUGUUUGCAAGGUCAAAGUUUGGCUAAAAUUAAAAUAUAAAGAAAAUCCAUUUAUUUAUAUGUAAAAUCCAUAUUUAAUUAGCCAUCUUUGCUAUCUAUAUCAUUCAGAUUCAAGGUUAAAAUGGACUAAGUGUGUGCCCCUUUUUAGAACAAGUUAAGAUUUAGAGCUAUUAAGACAAAGUGUCAUGCUCACGAUGUAGUUUACUGUCUUUGUGGCAUGCUCUCAAUAGUUACAUAAGAUUCUAAGGAUCAAGCCUAUAUCACCUAAUCCAUCUAAGUGACAACAAAAAACUAAGAUAAUCAUUAAACAAAACGAAAAGUAAUAAUUUUUUUUAUGCAAAAUAUACUCCAUUUCAUAUAUAAUAAUAAAGAAAGAAAAUAAAAUCCUAAUAGUGACAAUUUCAUACAAUUUAUAUAUGAUUAUUACACCAUUGUUUGAAAGAGACAUGAGAGCCAUCUAGCUUGACACGAAAGCAAGACCAGAUUUUAGUAGUCGCCAUAUACAAUUUACAACUUUGAAAAUGUGUAUCAAUACAUUAAAAACAAAUGUACUCUCCCUCUGUUAAUAUGUGUUCUAUUCAGUGUAUUUAUUUUUCUUAAAUUAUUUGCUUUUACAUAAUAUUAAGAAUACUAAUUAAUUCCUUUCAUAAGAAAUAUAGUAAUUAGAUUGUUUCGAUAAUACUUUCAUUUAUAUUCCUUUGAAACAAAACACUUUUAUUUAUCUUUUAUCUCAACUAACCUAUAUUAAUUGGUUUUUCCAUCUAACUCCUAUUAUAAUAAAGAGACUUUAGUCAAAGUAAAUUAUUUAUUUUACUUUAAUGCCAACGUAAAAAAUUCAGUUGAUCCCCUAAAAAAAACCUCGGUUGAUAGCUUGUGGAAUAUUUAACGUGUUACUGUUCAGAAUGUGUAAUUUUUCCCUUAAUUACACUUAAAUUGUAUGAUUUUAGUCACUAAAUUAUUUUAAAAAAACUUAACUAGUUCGGUUUGAUAUAUGAUUACCACCAUCUAUCAACGAAACAAAAUUAAACACGAGUUUCUCCUUAAAAAAAAAAAAAAAAAUUAAACACGAGUUGAUGUUGAAUGUAGUAAAAAACACAAUAAAUGAGGUUUUAAUUGGGUUUAUAUAAUCUUUUUGCAAAACUCAAUUUGACAAAAUUCCCUUUUGAAAUAUGAGUUAUAGAUGCUUUUUCACAUACGACGUAAAUAACAAGUUUAAGUAAAAGAGCUUGUGGAAAGAGAAGAUUUAUACUAGUUCACUAUCAACAUUAUAGCUAGUCAAUUCCUUUAUACAUGAAGGAUCAACCAAGUUAUAUUUUUCUUUUAUGAUUUUGCCGCAUUGUAUCCAAGAGUUAUUUCUUCCAUGAUAUAAACUUCUAUUUAUAGUGUCUGUGAGAGAGAGGAGGAGUCUAGGGCAAAAUACGAACAUUGAUUAAUUGUAUAGUCUCUGACGUCUCUUUUGAUGUUUGAUCAUACCUUCUUCAUGUACAACCUACCACUUCUCACCUUAUACUUUCACAUUCUCGUACUAAUUCCUCCUUUCAUCAAGAAUAAUUGUUUAUGAUAUGAAGAUGUAGUAAUUGUAUAUAAAGACGCAUGAAGACUAACGGUGUGUUGAUUGAAAAUAGCAAUAUGUUUAGGGUUUGGGUGUAUCUUUGCCCGAGUGUAUAAUUAGAUGAUUUGUAUAUUAUUUAGUUCUCAUUCUAAAACGGGUAUGACCUUAAGUUUGGAGCCAUCAAUUAAAAUUUCCAUUUAAGUCUAUAUAAGCAAUUAUUUUUUUGAAGCAAUCUAUAUGAGCACUUAUAUAUUUAAACAUAAUAUGCACCCGAAUCAACAAGCGACCUAGUGCUAUUUAAAAUACAUGUUUAUCUUAAGCAGACAAGUUAUAUUUCCAUGGACACGUAAACUAAUCAUUCCUGAUUUUAAUGGAAAUUUUGUAGACAUACGCAUUAAGAAAUCUUCCUUUUGACUAAAAAGAUCAAAAGGAACAUUAACAUAUAUAUUGCAAUAUCCAGGCCGGUUCUAUAUAGAUUACUUUUGAUAAAUUUCUUAUUAUCACGAGCCAGUAACGAGACAAAAUGAAAAAACGGGUCUUAUCAUAAUAAACCCUUUAUUGGAUUUGAAAUCUAAUAUGAUGUGUUAAUCCUAAUCAAAUAAAUAAUUCGAUCUCUUAAGAAUUUGGAUACGCUAUGUUUUUUACGCAAGGGAAGGGAAUGUCUCGUGAAAAUUCAUGUUUAGCUGGCUGCUGCUGACUCCCAUGAUUUCCGCCAAACAUAUAAUAAUGACAUUAAAAAAGUGCCACAUGAUGUGUAUUCGUUUCUUUGUUGACAGACUUCUAUAUAUAGCAUAGCUCACAUAUAUGUUGGUUCAGUGAAAUGGAGUUAGGGGAACCGUCCACAUAGAGGUUAGAAUAACUACACUUGCAAGAGAGACACCAGACUUUUACCCAAAACCUUAAGACUAUGGGUUUAUGGGUCCUCUUACUUAUAAGAUGUUCAACUUUUACUUUUUUAUUCGAUGUGGGACAUAUAACUUACACUUGCACACAAUAAUAUACGGGUUAAUAAACAAAAUGCAAAACAUAGACAAAAUUGAGUAUAUGGGUCACAUAAAAAAUUGAGUAUACGAGUGACACGUUUUAUAUACCUUUCAUCUAAUUGAAUAAUCAAAUUAUUGUCGAUUGCGAAAUUAAGAUGAUCAAUUAUUCUAAAAGAUCAGUCAGAGCGACAUAUAAGUUAAUAAUCAGACAAUCAUAAAACAUUGAGAAUGUAUCUUAACUCACAAUUUUAUUUUAUUUUUUGAAGAAUCUUAACUCAAAACAUGAUGAAGACCAAGGCCGUUCUUUGAGGAGUGCAAAGAGUUUAACCGAACUGGGUCUCCAAAGUGAUGGGCCUCAAGAAAAAAAUUAUUGCUCAAUAUCCCUACCCCCACUCAAAAAAGAAAAAUAAACAUGUUUCAUGUUUUAAUUUCUAAGUUAAAAAACACGUCUUUGUAAAAAUAAUUGUUAAUUUUGAUUUCGGUGGCUAAUAAUCAUUAUACGAGUGUUAUUCUCAAUUUAAAUAGAAGAUUAAUCUUUUAAAAAUAUUGUGAAUGUUUUUUAUUAAGUGCUUAUUUUUACUAUGAGAGUCGAGCCUCUAGUUUCAUAGGAACGGCUCUAUGAUGAAGACAAUAUAAUUAAGCUAUCUCCCCUAUAUGGCAAUGAAUUAUCACCCUCGGAUUCUUUUAAGCUUAAACUAUGACACCUAGAACUGGUUAAUUUGUACAAUAUCACUGUGAAAAUAACCACUUACCAUAUGCUUGAGCUAAGUCUGUAUGAAGUGACUUUUAUCUGAUCCAGUUGGAAAAUAAAAUAUACUGAUUUGUCUGAAAAUUAUAAUGUAAGGAUACCAUUUGUCCAUUCCUAAACUCUUAAAUACACUAUAUAUAUCACUUUAUUUCAGAUUACGACCAAUAUAUAUACUUUUUUGCCCCCUAGAUUGAUUACCAAAAACAUGAAACAGAUUUCGCAGGGUGAUCAUAUCUAAUCACCCAAAAUAAUCUAGAAGAGAUGUCACAAAGGACAAAUAAGUGCGAACCAUGUUUAUUUAGUAAAUUAUCGCCACUAAAAAGCAUAACAUGCUACACUUUUUUUAUAAAAUCAAAAAUCAAAAAAAAAUUAUUUGCUCUACAAUAUAAUUGCAAAAAUUGCACAAAAUUUUUUUUAAACAACCAUUUGGUUGACAACUUAUGGAACAAACAAAAUUUACAAAAAAAAAAUAGAUAUUUGUACGAAAACCAAAACAAUAGAGAGAUAAAGUAAAAAAUAAUGUGAGUAUGAGAUGGAAGGUUGUCACAAAAGUUGUCAAAAAUAAUUGUACAAAUAUCAUUUCUCUCUUAAAAAAUAUGUGAGUGGUUAGUUUGAAAAAAUUGUUAGCAGGAGAGUUUGAAGCGCCGUAACUCAUCCUGCAUUGUGAAAUCUUUUGGUUGAAACACAAUGUAACAAGUUCCCACAAUUGUCGAUUAGCGUUAAUGUUCUUAAUAUAUACUCCCUCCGUCCCGUAAUAAAUAACCUGUUUGAAAAUGUGCAAUUUUGACCUAAUUUAUUUUGACCAUAUUUUUCUACUAAUAUAUAAAGAUAAAUAAUAUCAUAUAAGAUGUCGUUAGAUUCGUCUCGAUGAGUAUUUUCAAAAUAUCAAAUUUUCAUAAUUUUUUCCAAUAUAUUAUUCAAGAUACUCCCUCCGUCCCUUAAUAAGUGAUCUAUUUGACCAUUUCACACAGAUUAAGAAAAGUGUAAAGAUAAAAGAAAGAGAGUGAUACUUUUACUGAGUUGCCCUUGUCAUUAUUUUGAAACUUUUUCACUUUUAAGUAAUGAUUACUUUCUUUGUUCCACUACAAACUUUAACAUGGGGACCACAAAAAGUAUUUAUAAGGGGUAAAUCUGUCAAAUUUUGCUUAGAAAUUUGAGAAGGUCAAGUAUUGUGGGACAAAUAUUUUUUACAAAUAGGUCACUUAUUCAAGGACGGAGGGAGUAUUUAAACUCAAAAUUACACAUUGAUAUGCGUAAUUGGGUCAACUGUGUCACUUAUUAAGGGACGGAGGGAGUAUAUAAAAGAAAAAAGAAGACAAAGUCGAAUGACUUAAAUCAUUACUGUAUUAUUGAGUACUCAAAAGAGAAAAGAGAUUUAAUCAAUUUUCCUUGUACCCAUUAUUGAUCAUCAUUUACCUCAAUUGGUGGGACCUUAAUUUCUCACUAACAUAUCUGCCGUACCCUUACUAACUAAUACUACAAUACAAUCCAUUUUACCGAAACAUGGAUUGGGACUACUACCUUCCUAAUCUGGCUUGCAAAAAUGCGGGACACAAGUUUUACUUAGAGGUUAGUACCAACCUGGUACACAAUUUUUGUGGUGAUUAGAGCGAUUCCUGAUUUUGCUUUAACGAAUUACAUACUAUAUAUAUAGUACCUACCUAGCUCAAUUAUGUGAUGUUUACUUACUAAUUAUUCUUAUACUUAUUAUAUUAUAUACAUCCAAACAAAUAAAAUUAAUAGAUUUUAAUCUUGAAUUGGAACAAAUUAGAAUAUAGAACACAUCUUUAUUAGGUCCAUCGAAUCACGUUUUACAAAUAAUUAGACCAAUUUUCCUCAAGGUUGUUUUUUAAACGCGUUCCUAUCCACUAAGUUAUUAGGUAUGAAUGUCAUGAUUAAUCGGUCAAUAACUGUAUUAGAUUAGGAUAUUCAUUAUUGAUAAAUUUUUCUGGAAUAAUCUUUCGAUGAUUGUAAUGAGUCUACAGCUUUUGUAGUAAUAACAAUGAAGCUUUUUUUAGUUAAACUCUUGCUGUCAUCUGCCCACUCCCAGAUUUUGGUACCAUUGACUUGUCUCACUCACCUUCUGUCACGCUUUUUUGUGGUUGUGCUUAUCUUAGUUAACCUCGACCUAACCUGCGAAUUAGAUUGCUAUGAUUUUGAGACUUAGUUUGUUUCUUUCCGUUUCAACAUCCUUCAAAAUUAAUUCUCAUACGUUCAAAAGUGAAAACUACCAAUUUUAAUAUAUUUGUUCAACUUCUCAAAAUUAAUUCUCAUCUUCAAAAGCAAUUUUGGUUGAAGUUAUAAUUCUUAACUUUUGAGUUUAUUGGAAUCAAUUCUCCACUAGAUUAGCCUCAGAAAAUAUUUCUUGUCAUGAGUUACCAAAUUUUAAAUUUUUCCGUCCAAAUUUAAUGUAUUUUUUCUUUUACACUAUUAAUUUUUUUUUUUUUUUUUAUCAUUUUUAACAACCAGCUCUAUUAGUAAGUAUUUAACUUAAAUAUAUUUUUAUCAAAAUAUAUAAAAUACAUAGAACAAAUAUUUUGUCUAAAAAUUUUUAGUUUAACAAUCGUAUUUAUUAUUUUAAAAUUAAUAUAUAGAAAAAUUUAUUUAUUUAAAUUAAAUAUUAUAUCUGCAUUUAAUAUUAGUCUACAUAUACAUUAUAUUUAACUAUGUCCAUUUAAGUAAUCAUACAUUCAAAAAUAAUUUUGAUCAAAACUAUCCAAACAACAUUCAUUCCGUUUAAUCAAUUAUACGUUAUUGUAUCUAAACAUAAAUCAAUUCUCUCAAAAUCAAUUAUUUUAGAAUGAAAUUCUAUCAAAAGUUCAACCAAACACAAACUUAGUAUAAUGUGACUUUUCUUUUUUGUUAAUCCAUUUUUAGAUGGUUUGGUAAACUGGAGUUCAACGGUAAAAUAAGUAUUAUCUAGCAAAAAGUUAUUUCACACAGGAAUUAAAUUUAGAUUCUUUCACACUUUUAAUUUUUUGGUUAAACUUAUCAACCACUUGAUUCAAAUUGUUUGAUUAGCUCAAAUGACAUUAUUUGAUUAGUUUAUCAUGAACUCUGGUGUAUCCACUCCUUUUCUUUUUUCUUUUUAAAAUUACGAUGUAACGAUUGAAUUCAACUUUGACACUUUUCAUUCUAAGUUAUUUUUAAAGUAGACAAAGUUAACGAUAUUGAUUAUUGAUUAUGUGGAUUGGCGUUAACAAGUUUUUAGAGAUUGUACUGUACAUAUGUUUUAAUGGUUGUAGGGGUUUAAUGGAUGAUUUUUAAGGGAUAUUAUGCGGGGAAAAUUCUUACAACAAUGAGCCAUAGAAUCAAUAAAAAAAAAAUUAAAAAAAAAUGGAAAAUGUUAACUACUACUCCGGGGCACCGAUUAAGGAAAUAAAUAGAGUAACUUUUGUAUUGGAAAUUGUGUAAUCAAUUUUCAAAAGUAAAAAUUAAUGUUACUUUUAAUUCAAAUUUUCCUUUUUUAAAUUCCUUAACCAGUGCCCCGGGAGCACCGGUUAACAUGACCCAUUUUUAUAAUAAUUUAAAGAACCAUAAACUUUAAUUCUGUAUUUUUUUAAAGAUAAAUAUUACUCCCUCCGGUUCUUAUUAUAAGAAACAAUUGACUUUUUAGAUUCAUUGUGUAACUGAUGUAUCUAGUCUAUAUUUACAACAAGAUACAUGAAUUACUCAAUGAAUUUAAGAAGACAAAAAUUUCUUAUAAUAAAGAUCGAAGGGAGUAAUUGUUAUUUUGUUAGGGGAAGAAGUUAAACCCAUGGCCAAUGCCCUCCUCAGUCCUCCUCACUCUAACCCUUAUGUUCAUAAUCAAAACCACCAAUUUUCCUUAAUUAUCUUCACUCCUAUGCCCAUCACAUCAAUUAUCGCUCGUGUUGUUUAAUUUGAAGAAAAAUCUAUCGCUCGUGUUGUUCAAUCACAUACAUCAUUAAUUAAAUGAACUUAAAAAAUUCAAUUUUGUUUAUAUUUAAAAACGGAGGGAGUACUUCUCACACUGUAAUUGCGGAUUUUCUUUUUCCAGCAUGAUUGGGGUGGGUGGUUUAGGAAAACAAAGAAAAAAAGAUUGGCAUUUAAUUUGGUUGCGGACUUGCGGUGGUAUAUUAGUAUUUGGUUAUUAAUUGAGAAACAAAAUUAUGCUUGAGAAUAGGGUUGCUGACGGUGUAGGUACGUAGAAAAUUUUGAUUAUGGUAGUAUUAAAUUCAGUUGAUUAUGAUAAUAUAUAUAAUAUAUGUAAGGUCUGAGUUCAAACUCCGACCCCCCCAAAAAAAAAAAAAAAAAAGAUUAACCUCAUUUUAUCUUAACUAAUCAAUAAGCCUUGUUGUUAACUUAUAACCUAAGAUUCGUAUCUCGCCUUAAGCAAUUUCUAAGUUUUUAUUUCAUAAAUGAAUUCUUGCUAACAAAAAAUCGAUUACUUAAACUGUAAUUCAUAAAAUCCAUUCAAAAACCUAAAAAACGAUUAGUUUAAACUCGCUUAUGUUGGGGUAAUUAAAGCUCAUGAUACCAAAUGUUGGAACGACUAAUGCUACCAUUGCUAAUUCUUUUGUUAUUUAUGGAAGAAGAAGAAAAUGAAGUUUAUAAAGGAGAGAGAAAAAUUAUGAAAUAAAAUUGAUCACUUCACUUAUGUAUGAUUUUCACUUUACAAUGAUGAGUUCACUUUCCCUCAUAUGAUAAACUCUUUCAUUUUUCACUAUAUCUAUUCUUUUAUUUUUGUACACACACUACAACUAUUUAUACACUUUACAAGACACUUCUUUUAACCAACUAAAUAACAAACCGUUUUUUCCCUGGUCGAACAACUAACAAACAGUUAAAACUAACUAAUAACUAACUGUCACUACAUAAGAUUCUGAGCUCAAUAUUCUGAACUCUAACACUUCCUAUUUUCACUACAAGUAACAUGUAAUGGAGUUCAAUAAUUCUAUUACAGAGAACUCGGCAACACAAAGGAAAUAAUCCUUAAGUACAUGAUAGAAGUGAAAUUGAAAGAUAAAGAAGGAUAAAGGGGAAAAGAGAAUAAGAAUUAUGAGAGAAAGAGAAGGAGGGUCAGAAUUUCAUUAACAUAUUCAAUGCCCUCUUUCAAUGCUUUCUUUCCCUUAUAUAUAUAAGCCUUGUUCACUUCUUGAUGUACACCUUUCAUCCAAUACUUGCCCACGUGUCUUUACAACUAUGACAAUUUGUUAGUUUUCAUUUGAUGACAUGGCUUUCUCUAUUUAGGAUCAUUACAUAACUUAUUAUAAUUGACUAAAUUGAAUUACAACUCACAGUUUACAAGAUUUCUUGAAAUUUCGUAAACAGUGGAAUAUACUCUGGUUUUCGAUUUUGAUCGGUAAAAAAUUGAUUUCUUUGAGUGAAUAUAACAUUGUAUGGUACAUCCUAAUAAAAUUGAUUGAAAAAAGUGUUUAUUAUUUUUAUAAGUAUCAAAAUGCCCCUUAUUAGAGAGAUAAAAUAAAUAGAGAUGAAAGAAAUGUUUGUUAUAGUGAUAAGUACCAAAAUGCCCCCAAUUAAAAAUCUUCAAUCAAAAUUAAUUUUUUAAAUAACUUAAGGGAAAUGUUAACCAAUGCCUCGGGGGCACUCGUUAAGGUAGCAAAUAUAGUAGCUUUUGCAUUGAAAAUUGUGUAAUCAAUACUUCAAAAGUCAAAAAAUGUCAUUUUUAAUUUAUUUUUUCCUUUUUUAGAUACCUUAACAUGUGCUUCGGGAGCACCGGUUAACACAACUUAACCCAUAACUAAAGGAAAAUGUUACAUGAACACCCUUUAAUCAUACAUCCUAUUGUACACCCCAUGCAUUAGGGACAUUUUGGUAAUUUCAUCUCACAACCAUAUUUUCUCUUUCAUCUCCUCUCACUUUUCCUUGCCACAUGUCAGGAUUUUGUGUGGGUGUAAGAGGUGUAUUGCCACAUGGGGGUGUACAUGUAUCACCACUCUAACU